UUGUUGCUUCUGUUUUAUUGUUCUUACGUAUAUAUAAAAAUAAAAAAAUCUUUAUAUAUUUUGUAAAAAAUCUUAGUUUUAAGGAGCCGAACUUUGCUCAGUAACUAAAAUAUCUUUUAGAAAAAUGUGGUUUACAACAUAAUUACUGUAAAGCUAAGAAACCCGAACACUAGAUGACCUGCAAUUAAUUUAUAUAAUUCUUUUUAUAUUUCUCAUAUACAACCUAUUUACUUGCAUGGCAAAUAUCAUUCUAGCCAAAUUAAUUAAUGGCUCUCAGUUCAUUUCUUUGCUACUAAGGAAAGGAAGUAUCAAUUUGAGGAGGAGAUUCGAUUGAGAGCCGUGCAUGAAAUAAUUGAUACAUAAAGCAGAGGGGGAUAUGCAUGCAGAAAUAAAUAAAGAGAAGAUGAUUUUGAAAAUGUCACACCGUGACAUGAUUUAGAAAAAUGUGGGAAGUUUUGGAAUAUGAUUCUUGAAAAUGAUCUCUAAUAAAUUAUUGAACAAAUAGUACCACAAAUAGAAAUUUCAAUCCCAUUUGAAGAGGAAUUGUAGCUGAUUGAGAUAUAUAAUUCCUGCUAUGCUAGUGGGGUCUCGUUGUUUUUCUAUGUGAUUUUUGUAAUAACCUCUACAAGAUUUUGUGGUGGAUUUUUCGUUGAUUGAAAAUGCAUGAUCAAUUAGGCUUUAUGUAGUGUCCUACCCAAUUUAUAGAACUUUGAAGAGGACAAAAGCUGCCAAAUGUCUUUGAAGGGGGUGGGGGGGAGCUUUAGCAUAUCUUUGUUCUUUCAAAAUAACUGAAAUCUCCCCUCACUCCUAGGAGGAGGCUUCUCCAAGACAAAAGUGCUUACCACAAAUUCCUUAAUAAAAAGUUGUUUAUCAUUAUACUUUCCAAGGAAGGUUGAUUUUCUCUCUUAUAGAAAACUUGAAAAAAGUGAGCUGCUUUUACGGCCCUCCAUAUCUAGAAGAUGCUUAGAUAGGUCUCUCUAUCCUUCUAUCUUUGCCUCCCUGGCCUCCUCAUGGAAUCUGCUUUCAGCUCCUGAAUUGACAAGGGCAAACAAUGGAGAGCAGGUCCAUCCAAAAUGUUCUUUCCCUUUCUUCACCCCCAAUUGGGCCACCUAGAGACCACAAGAAAGGACCAUACUUGCUAGUUGUAAAGAUUUUGAUAUCUUCCUCAAGGGCAAAAAUGCAAAAUGACCUUUAACUAAAGCUUAGCAAAAAGAUGAACAAAUUUUUCAUUGGUGUUGUUCAUGGGUUUUAAUUGGAGUUCUCUGCAUAUGCUCCUCGAAAACUACUAUUAGGGCUAACCUUUGAUGUGUGGGGUUGCAUCUAAUUUGUGGAGGGCAAUGCUUCCACCCCUUCUAAAUAAUUGACACAUUCGUUAAGCCUGAAAUGGACUAUGCAUUGCCUUUUGAAAUAGCCUAUUUCAUGGAUAAGAAAUUCCCUUUUUUGUUCCCCAACCAAAAUUUAUGGUUACUUUAGGGCAUGUUUGAUAACCAUUUCAAUUUUAGUUUUUAGUUUUUAGUUUUCAUUUUUUGUGCUAGAGUAUAGAGGAAAAAGAGGGAGAAUGGAAGUGAGAAUGAGAAUGAGAAUGAAGAUAGGAUUGAGAUGGAGGAUGGGAGGGGAGGAUGGGAGGAAGAAGUAAAAAAAAGUGAAAACAAAAACAAAAAACUGAAAUCUUUUUGAAAUUGUUUUCACUUUCAAGUUGUUGUUUUCACUUUUUUACUCCUCUCUCCCAUCCUCCCCUCUUAUCCUUUCCUUCCAAUCUCAUCCUUACUCCCAUCCUCACUCUCGUUUUUCUAUACUCUAGCACAAAAAAUAAAAAUGAAAAACUAAAAUUGAAAUGAUUAUUAAACAGGCCUAAGUUAAUCAUAGUUCUUAAAGCAUUUGUAAAACCUAUCAUUCAUUGCACUAAAGGGACAUGGCAAUGGCUUUGUUCCCCAACUAGCCUUUGCCUCUCAAAUUUUCUGGACAAUCCAAAAGUUGAUCAAUACCUAGCAUUUUUUGUCAGUUCUUUAUGCUGGCUCUAGUUGAGGGGUGAAGCUGACAUCAAUUGGACAAAAAUCUUUUUCUUGGAUCACAAGGGCUUUAAAGCUCCAACAGCUCCUUUAGAACUUUCCCAUGUUAAGAAAUUGGAAUCUCUAAGAUGAUGUCAAGGAAACACUAACAAUUUGGAAGUAAAUUUUUUGAGUGAGGAAAUAGAAAGUUUUCUACCCCACCUGCUUGAAUUUGGAAAUCGAAUUUUUCUUCAAACAAAAGUAAGAAACAAAGUGAAAGCCGUCAUCAUGAAGAAGAGAGGUCGAGGUCGAGGGAAUCCAACUGUCAGAGCCAUGGCCUUGUUCUUGGUCUCAAGGACAUUGCAAGCACUCAAUUUCUAACUAAAAGAUGGACAACAUAUCUAGAUCGAAUCCAUGAGCAAUGAAAUCCACUGAAACAUACUUUGAAGUUUGAAGCUAGCAUGCCAAUGCAUGAUGCAUCCACCGACAGGCUAUUCGAAUCUCAACUCAUUUUCCUACCCUCCCUCACUACUUGGACUAUAAAGGGUACAUUACAACAUUUUGAAAGUUCAACGGAAAGUCAAGAGUGGGGCUAGUACCAUACCAUCCAUCUAAUUACAGUUUGACCCUUUCUAAAAUUGCUUAGAAAUGACAUUUGAAUUUUUUAUUUUUUAUUUUCUAAAUAAACCUCGAAGUUGCCAUGACUCUCCCACUUGUCAAGGAGGUCAUUGCUCUCAUGGCUGCGCCCCUAGCCCUAGGAGGCUGUAAGGGACGUUGGUUCACUAUACAUGCUGGUACUGCCCCUCAUAGGGGUGGCGUGCCACCCAUGACAAGUUGACAACCACCGUCUUCUAUUAGUGAAAAAUAAUUAGGGCUAUAUAUGGGUGUUUUGUUGUGAAUGUUGAAUUUAAAGGAGUGGGUGUUUACCGCUAUAUUUUUUUCUUAAACAAAACAAAAGUUGGUUGGUGAUCUAUGUAAAUUAGUAAGGGUUUGUUUGGAAGUGUCUCUGGAAGUGUUUUUUGAUAACCAAAAACGUUUUUGACAAUGUUUGACAUAAAAUAAUACAUUUUAUGGAGAAGCAUUUAGUAUGUGUUUCUUUAGAAAGCAAUCCCAAGUGCUUUUUUAAGAAGCACUUGGAUUUCUUUUAAAAUUUUCAACAUUUUUAUAAUAAAAACAAUUUUAUUAGAAGAAAAACAAUUUAUUAGAAGCGCUUAAGAGCAUUUGUGUUUUCUAAAGAAGCCCCAAACGAGCUCUAAGCCUCGAUAAUACUACUACUCUAAUUUUAUUAUAUCAUUCUUUUUUACAAGCAACUAGUUUUAACUCUUAAAUUUAUAGUAAAUUUAGGUUUUACUCAUAAAAAAACUUUCACUUUUGGAAAAAGCCAAAGCUUUUUGAAAAAAGACGGAAUAACCUCUCAACUUUCAAACCAAAGACAUGCAAAUGUAAAGGAUUUCUUAGGAAAUCAAAAAAUAAAUAAGGGCAAUUUUGUCCAUUUUUGCUUCUUUUAAAAAUUUUCUCUCUCCUUUGGGCUUUUCCAAAAUCUCCCUAAAUUUAUCACUUUUUUCACCAUUAUCCAAUCAAUUAAUUGUUAAAUUUCGUCAAAAAAAUGGUGAAAAAUAUCAUUAGGCCAAUAACUAAUGUCAUUAUUUAUUCACUUGAAACAAAGUAAAACCAAUGUAUAUAAAUGAUAUUCUACUUUAAUCUAAUAUAAAUUAUAGGGAGGUGGAUUCGAACUCAAAUGCAAAGUGAAGAGCACAUCCGUUCUAGCCAGCUUAACUAAGUCCAUAUCUACAUAAAACCAAUGUACUUAAUCCUCUUGGUUAUGUUAUGAUAGAAAUAUGAAAAAGGAGAAUAUAAGAUUACUUGCCCAACUAUUAAACUCUUUAUUGUCCUUGGAGCCAACCAGUGUUGGCUUUCUUCAUAUUUAAACAAAGUAAUAAUGGUACAGAAACAUCUUUUCUUCCUCCUGCAACAACAUGGCCUCAUCUUCUAACCUUAGUAUAUAUUAAACAAAAGUAGUUUAAUGAAGUGUUUCCAAGGUGCUAAAAAGAAAGUGUCUAAGCUAAUCAUGUGGGGGUCCAAUAAAACACUACCCAUGUGAUUUCAAUAGGGGUGGCACAAAAAAUUAGUAAACAACAAAACAUUUUAGUGUAUAAUAAUACAAGGGGCUGACAUAAAUACAUGCAUUAAGAUACAUAAUGUCUAGCAAUAACAUAUGUAGAUGUAUAUGAGAGAAGGUGUGAUGAAUUUAAUUAUCUAAUACACCUAUCAUGAUUGAUUGACAUUCAAACACAAAAUGUCAUAUGUAUUUGGUGAAGUCUCACAAAUGCAUGUAUGUAAUAGAGCCAAUUUAGGGCAUGAUUGAACAUCCCAUCCUUUGAGAGCCUUAAAGAAAUGGAAGAGUAUUUUAAAUAUAUAUAAAUAAAUAAAAAGGUUUAGCCAAAUGAAUACGUAAUUUAUGGAGUACCUACCAAAAGUUGGCACUAAUAAUUUAUGGUCAAUAAAAAAAAAACUCAUUACAAUAAAUUGAUUGUUCUAAAAGUAAGUGUCGUUUCAAAGUUUGAUUGAUUACGAAAUUAUUUUUGUUGUUGUUGUAGAUUUUAUCAUCUAAUUUGAUAUAUACAACCGGUCUGGUUUCCAAUCUUGGACUACAUAACUAACUCAACUGGCAUAAACAUUUGCCAAUUAUUCUUAACAGAAAAUCAAAGUUUAAUGCAUAUAUGGCCAACGGGGUCUAGAUCGGUUGAAAAUGACCUUGAUUUGCAGCUAAAAGAUUCUGGGUUCGAACCUCUAUGACAUCUUAGUUGUGUGCGUGAGAGAAAGUCCCCUUCCUUUAGUUUAGAUUGUUGCUUGUGCUAAAAAAAAGUUUAAUGCAUAUGAAAAAACUUAUAUAUUUGUAUUUUUAUUGAGUUCUUUUUAUAUAUAUGUCAAACUGCAACUGACAGAAAGUAUGAAUGAGUCCAUCGAGUAUUGGAAAGACAAUAAUUGACAAACUAAAGACAGAAAUAUAGCCAAAAAUAGUUUCGAUUGUCCCAGCCACUAGAAAAUGCCAAUAAUCACAUCUGAUAGAGACCAAAACAAAGUCGGCAUUGAAACAAGUACUUCUGAUAACAUUUGAUUGAACCAAACUGUUGUACCAAGAAACUUUGUUUAUUCAAAACCACCGAAAGUUAUCUGAAGAGAAAUACAGAUAAUAAACAUGGCAAGAGAACACAUCUUUCUGACAAGUACUGGUUUAGGGGGCAAAGAUUUCAGCUAGAACCUCAUGAGAGAGAGAGAGAGAGAGAGGGAUAAAUUCCAAUAUUCUGGGAUUUUCACAUACAAAUGAAGUAUUGGCACACAAUUUCACAAUCAUUGGGGUUUGGUGAAGAAUCCUUUGAAUUGUUGAAUACCAGGUCAUAAAAUUUCCAAGCAAUUGGUAAAAACUUCAAACGAGCUUGAAAACUUGGGGCAUCAAAUUUGAAGUUUAUAUAAUUUUCUCAAAUAUCUUGAGUUCUACUUUUCUUUGUUGUGUAGUGUACAACAAAAACUCACCAACUUAAUUAUGAAAAAACACCACAAUAGAUAUACCCAAAUCCAUAGUAAGAAACUGAAAUUAUGAAAAAACUGUACAAAGCCAUUGAGUUACUUUCGAAUGUUCGGUUUCUUCAUUGGAAACAAAAGGGCUACUACAGAACAAUAGACAAUUAGCAUAGUUGCAGCAUCAUGGAAGAAAACUGAAAAGGUUCCGAAACUAAAGCAGUAAGUUAUGAAGCACCUCGGAGACGAGAAUUAAUUGGUAGAACCAAGUUCAAAAUGCUGGUUCUUCAGCACCUCCAAACCGAGACUGAGAUGAGAUCCUUGUGCUGCCAGCAGAGAACAAGCGAAGACUGUCUCUUCUCGAUGUGGAAACCCCCAACUGGAGUCCGCUGCACUAAGCACUCGGCUUGAGACUCGGUGAAAUUACUGAAUGUCAAUGGGGAGAACCCAGAUGACGAAAACAGAGUCCUCCAUGGAGGUGUUCUUUUAGGCGAAAGGUGGCGGCCGGUUACAAUCUUUUCAAUGCCUGGUUGGAGCAAGUACCUCUCAAUCUUCUGCAGGGCAUCUGGGUUUACAUUUACAGCAUCUAGUGAUUCAAGCAGGCCGGAGUAAGAGUGAAGGGAUUGGAUGAUUUGGUGGGCAAAUGGAACAUCGGUCCGGUCACUGCCUCUGUCCAAAGAGACCACAAUUUUUGGAGAAAGCUGCUUAACAAAGCGCAGGGCCAUAGUAAGUGAUAAAGGGUUAUUUGAAAAGGAACCAAUUGGGAGAUUAACAGCAACUGCCACACCCUCAGAGACAUGAAGGGGCAAUCCCCAAGAACCAGAGUUCAACGCCUCGAGGCUUACGAGUUCGAGUUCGAAUGACAAGUUAAGUUCACUAGCAAAGUGUUUGAGGUUUUCUCGAGUGAAACCAAUCUCAAAUUCAUCAUGCGUGGAGGAGGAUAUAAAUGCAGUGAUCUUAAAAGAAGGUGCCCCACAAUUUCUCAAGGCAACUUCUUGCAUAAAAGAAGCCCAUUGCCCACCAUAGCCAAUAUCAAAAUCAAUAACAUGGACACGGUUGAAGCCUUCCACAGCUUCAAGGAUGGCUUGGUUACAAGUAAAGUUGGCAAAUUGGAGAACUGGUGAGAUUUCAGAGAAUGAUUUAUAAGCACCAAUCUUGAAAAUCAGGCUAAAUGGUGACAAAGCAUUAGAAGAGUUACUAGAGGUGUUGAUGUGAAGGAGCAAUUGUAAGGCCUCCUUGAAAUAAAAAGCAGCCCUUUGAAAAGGCUUACCAACGGGAGAGAGCUGGUGAUUGAGCCGCGCCAAUAUCCCUUGCGCGAGUGCCGGAUUUCCUGUUUCGAUCAGCUCUGCUGCAUUGAAAAGCUGGUCAAUUGCUGCUUGCUGAAGCUGCUGCUGGUUCUGGUUCUGGUUCAUCAUUUCUUUAGUUCCCUCUGCUGGGCUCAACAUAUUCUCCUUCACCAACAUUGUUGGCCUCUGUUGUUGGAGAUGCUGUGGAAGAAAUUGAAGCUGCUGCUGCUGCUGCUGUGCCCGAACCAAUAGCUCUUGUCCGGGAUUCGAAAACGGUGCUCUUUGGACCGGGUAAUUGGGUCCAAAGCCACCAGAAUUAAACCUUUUGGGUGGUGGUGGUGAAAGAAGGUGGUGCUCUUGCAAUUGGGCAUAUGUCAAAGGCAUAAACAUAGCUGGAUUUUGAGUGAAUUGAGCUUGGUUUUGGUUCAUCACCAUCUGGGGAUUGAAAAUUUGAGGCUUCUCAUCCAUACCCAUGUGUUGUUGCUGCUGCUGAAACAUGCCAGGAGAAAGUGAAGCAGGGAAAGUGUUGUUCAUUGAAGCAGAGAACAUGGGGCUUGGUGAAGAUGAUGACCCAAGCCUCACAUUGGUGCUCUGAACAUUUGGGCUACUAUUACUGAAAGCAAAAUCAGAACCAGAUGUUGCAUGUAGAGAAGGAUCAACAUUAAUGUUGCUCACCAAAUUCCCAGUAUUGGGUUCAAAGCCAUCAUAGCCUCCUUGAUCCACCACAUCAUGAAACCCUGCACUGAAUUCCAAAUCUUGCUGAUCAGAACCGCUUCCACUCUGCAACAGCUUGUUCAAUCCAAGAGAAGGGUCUUCAAUAUCACUCAUAAUCAACCUCAGAAUGGACUGCUCUUGACCCGGAGACUCAGGCAAGACACUCUCCCAGUCUUCCAUUCCAAGCGCCGGCCCACAUUUUGAUUCUUCUAUUGGUGUUUGAGAUAUGUUUUCGUACACCGCCGCUGCAGUAGUGCCCAAGCAGGUGGUUGUGUCUGUAGAGCCGCUGCCGCCACCACCACCGCCGCUGGCUCCGCCGCCGCCGCCGAGAGAAGAAGACAGUGUUGAAGAGGAUGUGGGAGGGCUUGGGCUUCUUCUGGCGUCGAGAACAGAGGUGGGCUCAGUGCUGCCCACAUAGCAAUUCUCUUUGUUGCUGUUUUGGUUCCACUUUUGCUGCUGCUGCUGCUGAUUGUGGUGGUGGUGGAGAUGUUGAUUUUGCGGUGGCUGUGAAUCUGAAGUUGAAGAAGAGAAAUCUAACACCCCCUUCCCUUGAAACUGCUCAAAGGGUAGGGGCAUGGCCUUCAUCUAACAAAAUAAACACUGAAAAAAAUACACACAAACCCAAGAACCCAGCAACCUCCAGUUUUUUCAAGACCAACAAAAACCCACCUCCCAAAAGACUCCCAGAGAACAAAAUACAAAUGGGUUCUCAAAUUUACAAAAACCCAAGAGCUCAAUGCUUAAAUUUACAGAAGCAAAAGCUCUGGUUUUUUAGGCCUAAAUCAAAUUCUGACUCAAACAAAGGCUGCCCAAGUGCAUGCACAGCUGAAAUGAAAUCUCAGAACACAGAGACACCUAACUCUUAGGCUCUUAGCUGCUGCUGCUGUUGCUCUGGUAGCCUGAUGCCUGUCUUUGUUGCAAACAAAACAAGCUCUUGUGUUUGAUGUAAAACCUCAAGGCUCAAGACCCAUUUUUGGAACCAUCUUCUUCUUCAUUUCUUGUGUGUGGUUUGGGCCCUUUGGUGGGUUUUUUUCUUUCUCCUCUGCCGGUGCCUUGAGGGGAGUAGUACUUCGUCUUCCUUCUGUUUUCUGCUAUGUGGAUGCGUGCAACAUAUAAAAGUGGUAAAGUGCUUCUCUCUCUCUCUCGUUUUCAUACUUUUUUAUUAUUUUGUAUUUUGCAUUUUUCAUUUUCAUUUUUUAUUACAAUUUUUUAUGUGGCUUUUGUCUGUAGAUGUAGUUAUCUCCCUGCUAGGGUUACUGUCACGCACUUCAAACCCACUCUCAUGCAUCACACGUAAAUGCCAAUCGCAAACUUCCUAGACAAUUAAAUUAUAUGUUUUUGUUUUGCCACAAUUAAAAUAUAUGUUCAACCACACCAAAAAUGAGAAAAAGAUUUAUGUUUACAUAAAUAUAUUUAUAUAUAAAAAAAUGUAUUUCCCAACUGAAUAAACAAUUUAAUUUCCACAAUGCCCAAAAAGAAAAUUCACAAAGAAAUAAAAUUUAUUUAAUAAAUAUUAGAAGAGAAAAAUCCCAUUUCCCAUGCACUCUUCUAAAAGGGCGCGUGAGAAUGUUGUCCUUGUGAUGGUUUAUUUCUUUUAUUAGUUUACAGAGAGCGACGAGAGACAGAUAAAAGAUGAACUGGCUGAAGUGGCUUUUGCAACUUGGUGGCAUUUCCUAAAUUACCUUUUUCCAUUUGGCUACAAUCUAGCUCCACUGCUCCCGCAAGGCUCUGCGAGUAUAGGGCUAUUUAAGUAAUUUAGGGAGAACAGCUUCUGCUCGUCCUGGUUUUCGAAACUGAAUCUGACGGCACGUUAAUGCGUGGCCUUUUUUGGGUUUGAAGAUAUCGAGAUGGAUUGGACGGACCAGAUAUUUAGUUUGAGUUAAAAAUAUGUGGUUGCGAUUCAGAGCUUCAAUUUUUUUUGUCGAAGUUUGUAUCAGUGAGUAACAAAUUUAAAUACUUUCUAUUCAAACCCCAAAAUACUCAUUGCACUCUCCCUCCAAAUUUUGCUUUUCAAAACUUUCGGCUUAUAUUUUUUUCAUAAUCUUAUUCAAAUGUUUUGGCAACUUACUAUCAACAUGAAAGUGAUAGGAUUAUAAAUCCCAUCCCACCAAAAAGAUGGGAUUAAGCUGAAUGAGUUUAUGUCUAAUCCUGCUAGACCAUGUAAUAGUAUAUUUUAAUAAAUUAUGCUCCUUAAUUAUGUGUAUUAGCACCAAAUGCACUAUUCAAUUACCGUUACCCUCUUCAACCUAUGUAAUAUAAUUCAGUGUGCUACCAAAUUAUCUAAUUCAGUCUCAAUCACUAAAUUUGUCCUAAGUGGCUGAAAAUAUUCGCUCAAAAUAACAGUUAAAGAAGGAAAAUGGUCAAUUCAUCUACAACAAAUGGGUAGACUUAGCUGAUAUCAUCUUUGAAUAGAGAGCGUAAAAAAUUGAAUUUUUGUCGACUAAUAACUAAAUUAUGUUGAUUUAAUUUCAGUUUCGUACAUAAGUUCAUUAGGAGCAAAUUUUACAAGGUUUUGUGAGACAAAUUUAGACUAAUGAAUUCUAAUUGAUACUUGACAAUAGUAAAGGGAAGCUAAGAGCAUUAGAAUUUAGAACAUGCUAAUGUCAACUGUUUAUGUAGUGUUUUGUGCCAUUGGAAACAGACAGUAAAUACCAAAAGUUGAUUCAAUAGACUUCUAAAAUUCAAGAAGCAAUAAUGGUAUGUGUAAUCAUGUUGGCAAUGACCUUCCUAAUUCUUUUGUUUCUUCACAAAGCCAUUUUGACCAAGAUGAAGAAUAUAACGAGCACAGAAGUUUGUUAGACAUGGUGGCCAGCCAAAAUAAAAAAAUUUGACAUCAUUACAGAUAGGGAAUUUACCUCAAAUUCUUCAAUUGGGUCUAUCAGUAAUCAACUUAGUUUCCAAUAGCCUCAAAUAACUCAAACAACACCUCAAAUCACAAAAUCAUAGCCUAAUUAGCCAAAUAAUCUAAAUGUGGACAAAAUCUGAAAACCUACUCAAAGUUCAUAAUAAUUUACCUCAACUUGUAGAGUUCAUUCUCUUGAUCGUAAGGCGAAAUCGAUUCGUAUUCAUGAUUUUGGACUUGCAAAAGGUUAUAGACAAAAUAAAGGUUUGGUUAGAAAAAUACGAGAGAUUCGAGUUCGGCUAACUAAGCAAGUUUUUUUUUUUUUUUUUUUUUUUUUUCUAUUUCAUUUUCUUCUUUAUAGUCCAAUAAGAUAUUACGUGAUUUCAUCCAAGCGGAUACUGAAAUAGCGUGACACGCUCUACUGAGCUGGCGUCCAUGCGACCACAUGAUUAGAAUACCAUUCUCCUCAUCCAAUGCUCCAUAUUUUUUCACGUCACGAUUAGAAUACCAUUCUCCUCAUCUAAUGCUCCACAUUUUUUCAUGUCACGACUUACUAAUUUAAUAAUUUUCAACUUUAAAAAUUCACCAAAAUACUUCCAAACACAGAAAAAUUCCUUGAAAUUUUUUACAGGCUGGUAGUCACCUCUACUUUUAUUCUGUGACUUCAAAAAUAAAUGUUUGACCAGAAUAAUUUUUUUUUUGAAAAAUUUCUCACUAUUUCUAACUCAAAUCAUAUAGUUUGAAAUAAAUUCUUAAAAUUUCACACGCUAAAAGUUCAUAAAAACAGUUUUCAAGCACGUGAAACAUGUUCGCUAUGCAAGGCAUUGCAAGCUAUAUUUGAGUUGAAAUUAAUUCCGUAUUGAAAAGCUAGAGGUUUUUUUUUUUUUUGGAGUCAAUCAAAGUUCAUUAAAACCUCAAAAAUGAUAAGGAAACAAACAAAGAAUACGAGGCCGAAAAUGCCAAAUGCAGAAACAAAGUACCACAAGCACAGAGAAGAUUAAACUUAGAACCAGUACAAUCUAGUAUAACAAAUCUUUUCCAUACAAAAUCAAAACAAAAUACAAAACCGAGCCACCGUUACCAUAAAGGGACCGAAGACCGCACCAAUAUGGUCACAAAGGAGGUGAUUCACAUUCUUCACACAAGUCAGCAUAGCUGUACAUAAAAACUAGAGCUCUUUAUAAGGCGUAUUUUUAGAAGUAGAUUAAUUUGAAUUGGACUAUGCAAGUGACCCAAAUGAAUUACAAGUGGAUUUGACCUAUUGGGUCAAUGCCUAGCAAAAUAAGUCGGACGUUCUGGGCUUUUCUCUACUGCGGAUGUGGCAUGAGAACUAGACUAGCAUACUGGCUUCUUUUCUAGCCGUUUCAGAAAAGCCCAUUAUCGUCAAAAGCAAAAUCUCUUUGUCAAUUUAAUAAUUUUCCCUCCUUAAACACUGUUCAAAAGGGCCUGGCUCUCAUGUAUUUAGCUGGGCCUGAAUGGGAAAGAAGGCGGCAACAAAUUGCUUUGCUUUGUGAUAACAGAAAGAAAAGAAGGGGAGGCCGAAGGGGCCGUCAACGAGCUAUAAAAAGAAAGCUUGCCCAAACAUCAAAGCACCCUUCAUCUUUACCUUGAAUAAUUUAGACAUUAUUUCAGUGAUCUUCAAAUCGUUUCAAAAUGACAGCAACACACCAUUUUCUGUGAUUUCUUUCUAUCAAAGAAUCAUAUGAAUGGUUGAUUCCUACGUAAUACACUUCACUGCGCAAUGAGCUGCCUACGCUGUGGCCCAAAUGAAAAGGGAGGAGAGUGAGAGAACAAAUAUUUUUCUCUUCUGUAAAAGAACCUAACCAGGUAACCCUCCCUGGUUUUCUACGAGCAGGCUUCGGAAACCCCGAAUAUAUUUGGUUCAUUUCGUUCAAGAGUGCUAGAUAAUUUUUGCAAAGAUUAUUAAGUUGGUGCUACUUGUUCUCUUUCUAAAUCGUACAUUCAGUCCAUGCAUGAAAACAAUGGUAAUAUUGCUUCAAAAUGCAUCAAACUGGUAAACUUGUGGUACAUCAAUCGUUGUUUCAAAUGCAUAAAAAAGAAAUGCAGCCUUUAUCUGACAUCAUACUGGUUGAAAUGCAUUCAGUCCGUGAUUAAUUAUUUCUUUUGUGCUUUGAAGGUCAUUGUGGAGAAGGAGAAGGAGAAGGCAGAGAACAUUGACAAUUUGACAGGAAAAAGUAAACACCAGUUUCAUGUUAUGUCCUGUUGUAAUGAGUUUUGUGAAUUGGUUAAAGUUAUCUUUAGAAUCAUAUUGGUCUCAUAAAAAAACAUUUUAAAUAUCUAUUUUAUCCAAAUCCAUGUGGGGUGUUAUUAUUGGACAUGUGUGCUCCACAUAUGUGUCACGUAAGUAAUUUAACAAAAUUUUUGAUAGAAUCUCACGAUAUGAACUAGUUUGAUGUACAUGUAGUAACCUUAAGGACUAACCAUGUCACAAAAAAACAUAAAUGAUCAAAAGUAAUAAUUUCAUAAACCUCAGGUACAAAGCACAGCAGAGAUGCAAACAUUUGAGGUUUUUUCCAUUUUCUGUAAACUGUGUGAAACCCAAAAUCUCUGUCCGGGGAGGGAGCUUUUCAACUUAAUUGGGCUCAUUUUUCUUGUCAUGAUCUAUAUUUAUGAAGAAACAAAUUGCUACCUACUGUGCUAUAUCAAAGCUAAACUGCUUAUAUAUAUAUAUAUAUAUAUAUAUAACUCUAUAUAUUAAUGACUUGAUUAUUUGACUGCAUGACAGGCAAUGAAGCACCUAGUUCAGUUUAUUUGACUGUGAAACAAUUUGUCUAUGCAUCUAAACUGAGUGCAGAAAAGACAAUCUACAUAUUUCUAGACAAUGUCCUCCAACCUCCCUACAGGUAUCUAUCUACAGCAACUUCUCUCUCCCUCUCCCUCCCUCUUAGUUUAAGUUUAGGGUUGAAAUUCAAUGGCAAUGCACCUUUGUCUUGGUAAAUAUAGUUAAUUACUGAUACUCGUCAAAAUUUGGUUGGAAAGACGUUCAUAAGAUUCUGGGAUAUGAUUAAACUUCUGCAAUAAUACUUGGAGUAUAUGAAUUGAAUAAAACUAUUGCAAAAAUUCAGUAUUGAAGAGAGGGAUUUUAGGAUUGAUGGAAGAAUUGGUAAACGGUUAAUGAUUGUCCUAGCUAUAAAUCUUAUAUAGCUAACGUUUUGAAAUUGUGCAUAUAUGUAUGAUUGAUUUUUAAAGAUUAAUGUAUUUAUGUGUGAUUUUGGGACUCACAAGUAUCAAUGGUGAAAAAUAAUCGGAUUUACGGGAUAUUGACAACCUACCUUAGCAGCCUCAUAUACAAUUAAAGUACAGUAUAAAAGUCAUAGAUCAAUGAAUGAAUUUCUAGAUAGAUACACAGUACAAGUAUUUAAAAGGCUAGAAGAAGCAAAAAUUAUAUUUAAGAAGUUAUAAUCGCACAAUUUGUGCCGUAACUCAAAAGCCUGAUUACAUGCUUCAAUUUGGUUCAAUAUACCUUGGGGAGAAUGGGGCCCCAGGGACUCGUGGGGACCUCAGCGACAGCACCUGGUAAAUGACUAUUUCACAUGGCUGAGCGCCACGUGUCAAGCUUGGCCGGUAAUGACGGUUAGGACAUUUUGUCGUGGUCUUUGCUAGGGGAACAAGAGAGGAAUGGUCCACGCUGCCCUUGUCUGCUGUCCCCACAUCGUACACAUUUAUGUAGGCCCUACAUGUGGGCCACGCUACGCUAUUUCAAUUUCUAUCCCAUCUCAAGAAUUCUGUCAAUGCCAUUAUGCCAUAAUGCCAUAUCCACUAUUCUCUAUGCAAUCGUUUGAGGGUAGAUAUUAAGAAAAGGGAUUAAUGUAUAAUGUAUUGUAUUAUGUAGACUCAUGAAUGAUAAGUAGAGUUGGGAUUUAGAGUACAACCAUGAUAACUAAGUUAUUGAUCAUGUUUAUAUAUCGAAAUGGAUAUGAAUAUUCAUGAUAGAUGAAUUUAGAGUUAGAAUUGAGACAUGCGACAGAUAUAGACGUAUAUACUUAUCAUAGACAAGUUUUUACAUAUAUCUCUGCAUCUACUAGCAUAUGCAUCUAAAAAUUACUAUAUGUUGAUCAACACACUACUGUAAUGACAUGAAGCCGAAUUUGGGGAAGUUUUAAUUACCACCUACGCUUAAUUAAUUUGCGUUACUGUGAUCAACUACAAGGCUGCAUACAUUGUUUUUCUAAGCAGCUUAAUGAAUAAUUUUUAAAUUUUCUGUUGCACGUACGCACAAACCCUUUUGUCAUAUAAACAAUAUUUUAAAGUAUAGGAGAGACUAAUUAAAAGGCAUUUAGCGUGGAUGCUUACCAACUAAUUAAUCACCCAUGAAGUGAAACAUCUUCCUUAAAAGCAUGGAUCGAGUUCAUAUAUAGUUUAUAGCCUAGGCUAGUCCCAUCGAUUCCUAAACUUCAUUUGAUUAAUCAUGAAUUUCAAACCUAGCCUCUCUAGCCGUCACUCAAUUUUAGAGAACAAGAGGCUAAACCUCUCAAACACACAAUUUAUUAAACGGAAAUAAAUGAAUUAUUCGAAUUCACAUAUGAACGUGAAUUUUUUAUCUUUGUGAGAUAUGUAGAGCUCAUAAUAUAACAUGGUAUAAAUAGUGUUAUUGUUAAGUUAUUACCGAAAUGAGAAAGAGGUCCAAAUAAUGAAAAUUUUCCCAGAAUGACCGUCCUAGUUGCUUCAUAAUAUUGCUUGUUAGCUCUUCAAUACGCAUGCAUCAAUAGUUUGCUUGGAAAUAGAAAAUUAAUUCACCCUCUAUUGCUCCGUUGCCUGUAAAGCAAAAGGACGUACUUCCAUUGCCUGUAAAGCAGAAGGACGUACUACAUGAAAAAAGGUCAUUCCCCUAGCUGCCUUUUGAAUGUGACCAUGAUUUGAUGAUUAAUUAGUCAUAUAAUAAUAAUCAUAGUUAACUCGUGAUUAAACAAAUCAAAUCAUUAGUUAAGUUGUCCAAGCUCCAAGAGGUAAAAAGGGUGUGAUUAAUCUACACUAUAUCUCAAAGACAAGUGAUAUUAGAGCGUGCCUCGGUUUGAACGAUUAGGCAGACAGUAGACACUGGCUUUCUUGAUUUUGUUCUUUGUUUCACCUCUUGUGCAUGCAGCCCCAUUUUUCUAUUAUAUAUAUUUGAACCCUUCUACAAUUGAAAGUAAAAUUAGAUCUCUUUGACUCUCUCUCUCUCUCUCUCUCUCAUAAUACAAACAAAAAAGAGAGUGAGCAGGCCCCCCAUAUAUUUUGAAGAGGGUUGAGAGUUGCAUCUCUUUCUCUGGUGGGUGUGUCUUGUGUCUUGGGACCCAACAAUUGAAAUUUGAGAGAAAAUUGAAAGGACAAAGUAAGAGACCACCCAUAUCUUCAUUUUCCUUUUCUACUACCCAUACACCUCCAUGUUCUUCUGCUAGACCUACCAAACCUCUUAAAUCUUCUUAUCAAAUACCUGCAUUUAUUGCUCUCAUUCUCUCCCUCUCUCUACAUAUACCUCCUCUCUGAUCACUAGCUCUACUGCAAACACCCCGUCCUCAAGCAAGCUUCCUCUCUGUAUCCCUAAUAUUCCAUUUGUUUGCAUCCUUCUCUCCUAAUAUGUCAACAAGUACUAGUGCUCAUUGCCUUCUUCUUUUCCUUCUUUGCCUUUCUUUGCAUGCAUGUAAUGCCCGGCGUCUCGGUGCGGUUGAGAAGAAGCCUGAAAACAAACUUCAUCUCGUCAACAAGGUAACACGUGCACCAGUUGUUUAAUAUGAUUUCUUCAAUUCUUUCAAUUUGAGUUGCGGCACAACAUAAAUAGAUGAUGGGAAAUAGAGUCUGAUACUAGGUACCAAUCUAUAGUAUCUGAUACAUUCUCGAUACUAUAUUUGAUAUUUUGUUAAUAUUUUAUAAUAUCGACAAUGUACCAGAUAAUGUAGAUUGGUAUAUGUUAUUAAUAAAUCACUUGUCCAAAUCUGAAAUUUGGAUUAAAUUAAACCAAUCCACUUAACUAGCUAGCUUUUUGGUUUUGUGCAGAGUACUAAAGAAAAGGGUUCUGAUGAUAACAUUCCAGCUGUGGCAAAGGUGAAGUCUUUCUCAUCAAAGGCAGCACCUGAAGUGGCAAAAGAACGAAGCACAGCAGAGACUCACAGUGAUAACAGUAUCAACACUAAGGAGCCCACGCACACGAAAGCCAGUGAUGUAUCAAGAAAAACAAAGAGGUCGGCCUCAGGUGCUGUUGAACAUCAUCCAACAACUGUAGAUGCUGAUGAUGAUAACAAGUCGUCUUUCGAUUCGGUUUCAUGGCGUGUUCCCCACAAGAAACGUGAAGUUCAGAAACAACCAGGGUUCAAUCUGGACUACUCACCCCCAAAGACACACCCUCCUUCUCACAACUGAUAUAUAUAUAUAUAUUGUCAUCAUAUAUAACUACAUGAUCACCAGCUGAUGACCCACCUUUUUUCUUGUUCUUGUUUCUUUCCCUUGCCUUUGCAUUAAUAAUUAAUACUAAUAUAUACUUCUGUCUCUCUCUCUCAAUGCAAUGUUCCAUCAACAUAUGUAUGCAUGUGGGAAGUUACGGUAGUGAAGAAAGCUUGUAGGGCCUCACAGUCCUCAUAGCUAGCUAGGUUAAAAUGCUUAUUUACAUAUAUUAUAUGACCGCAUAACAAAAGUGGAAAUUCUAUGUGUUAUCAGGCUUUUCAUUUCAUUAAUUUACAUCAGAGCAGCCUCUUAUCAUUUCAUGUGGACUAUCAGGAUUUAAACAGGAAAAUGUGAAAGAGUACCGCAUGCAUGCCUAACUAUUCUAAUUUCAGAUGCUUGUGCUUUUGGUCAAUGGUUCGGUAAUUGAAUAGCGCGCACCAGGAAACACAUUAAUUGAUCGGCAAAAAUAUAUAACUUAACUUACCUGCCCAAUUUUAGCUUUUUGGUAAAAACAAAUGAUGGUAAAGUUCAGGUUAACUUAUGUCAUGCAGACACUUAAAAAAAAAAGGGUCACUCUAAUGGAAAAAUGCCUUUACCGACCACAAAGUGCCCUUGUUAAAGGCAUUCCGUUUUGUAAUGAGAUCGGUAAGUUGUCUUUUUAUUUAGAACAUGUGUUGGAUCGACUUAAUUGAUUAAUUUGUAUAUGUUCCUGCCCAGAUCUUUGAUAUUUUCAUGGUUUGAUGGGCAUGGAGCUCAAGAAACCUUCAAUUCUGUGGACAAUGAAGGUAAACAAUGAGUUGAAAGCAUUAAAUGAUACAUGGCCUUAAGCAUUAUCUAACACAUUGAUGGGUCGGAGAGAGAGCAUAUAUUUGCGGUGAGAUAUAUAUCAAGUGGUUGGUUGGCUCUGAAUUAAUGAGGGUGGCAAUUGUAGUUUGAUGACCCCACACUUCUAGUUGAUGUUUAUAUGUUUCUUGCAUGUUAUUGCAUUGGUAUAUAUUUCCUUUGCGAUGAAGGGCUAGCAGUUAAUGAUCAUUUGGUGAAUGAGAGCUCCAUAUGCAAGCAAAGUUUUUCUUUCGCACAAUAUUAACACAAAUUCGACCCAAUUGAUUUUGAAUUGGAUGUCCACAUUCUAAUAUGGUAUUAGAGCAGGUUAUCCAUAUGUCAUGGCCAAUAACUUACCGUACUUUCACGUGUUAUGCUUAAAUGACGACACACGUGAAGGGUGUUGAUGCCUUUCAUAAUUCUAUAGAAAAACACACAUACAAAAUGACUCCACGGUUACUUAGCAUAUCACCCUAUCUUUCCUUUUUGGCGGGUCCUGACUCCUUGUGCCUUUUAGAGGUCGUUGACAAUUAAUGCAAUGAGCUUCAAAUCCAUAUCUUAUUCGUAAGUCUUUCUUUUCUAGUUGUUGUGCCAAGAAAAGACAGCAGUGAACCUUUUUCUACUGCUUGACCUUCAUGCCUGCCUUAUACAUAUUGUUCAUACAACCAGCCCCUCGAAGUCCAGUUAUUUUGAUUAAUUUAUUAUUCAACACAAAAAUCUACUUAGGCAUGCGCCAUGUCCCAGACCCAGAGGACCCAGACCUAACCAGAGAGACAUAAGAUGCAACAUUUUCAAGGGUGUCUCCGAAAACAGGCAAUCUGUAAAUGUGAUUCAACUCAAAAUUUUAAAAUCCCCAUAAACAAUCUUUAUGGCAACAAACAUCCCAUGUAUCCCUAGUAGCCAAAAUUCUUAACAAAUCCAUAAGUUGAAACCCAAUGUGCCUCUUCCCCAUGUGAUCCAACGGCUCAAAUUGCACUCCAUGCUGAUCCCCAUCACAUAACCUUGUUAAUUUCUGUUCCUUGUUUGUUUGUUUUUUCGAUUAUUAAUUUUUUUUAAUCAUUCAUCCCAAAGAAAAAAUAAAUGAGAAAGAAAGAAGAAGAGGUGGGAAAAGUUUGCAUUUUCCAAGAUGAGAUCAUUUCUCUCUACUUGAGAAACCGGAUUGAGGCUCCCUAUACAUUUUGUCUCCCAAGAUUAAGUGGAGGCAACCUAGUUUUACCAAUUAAUUAUGCACUUUAAUUUAUUAUUAAAUUGGGCAUUAAGUACUUUUGAUGGAUCGGUGCUUCUGGUUUUUAUAUUCUCAAGUCAAAUGCUACGUUUGAAAAUGGAUGAGUGUAGAGGGGUGGCAUUUUAAACCGAAAAACCGAAAAACCGCAAAAACUAACCGAUAUUUUACCGCAAUAAAACCGCAAUCGCGGUAAACCGAACCGCAUUUACGGUUGCAGUUGCGGUAUUUGAUUUUUAAAAUUUGCGGUUACCGCAAACCGCAAAGUAUAGCCGCACGGCUAUACUCUAUGAAUAAUUAAGUAAAAUUGUGAACCCUUCUCUUCUCUUGAAUUGGUGGAAAGGGAACCAAACAAGAUAUCAUAUUCUUUCACAAGUUGCCAAGGAUAUCUUUGCAAUUCCAAGUUCUACGGUUGCUAGUGAAAAUGCUUUUAGCAUAGGCAAGAGGAUUGUGGAUCCUUUUAGAAGCUCUUUGCAUCCUAAAAUGGUAGAGGCAUUAGUGUGUACUAGUGAUUGGCUUAGAGCGGACGAAUUUUCCUUUUACAAGGAACCAACAGAUGAUGAGGUUGAAUUCUACAAGGAAAUGGAAGAUAUGACAACUUGUAAGUAAUUAGUUUAUUUAUGCUAAUGUUAUUUAUGCUUCUUCUUAUAAUAAAAUGUACUAAACUAUGUUGUUUUAUUUGUAGAUAGCAUUGGUGCUCAAACAACACAAAGGGGUUCUUCAAAUCCACUCACCACCAACACUUGAGUUUGUAACAUUGGUGUAUUGCAUUUUUCUUUUUAGUUUGUAACUUUAAUUAACUGUGAAUUGGAUUUUUCUUUUUGGUUGUAACUUUAAUUCAUUUUGCUUUUGGUUUGUAAAUUUAAAGGAUUUGGAAUUGGAAUGCUUGAGAAGUUUAACUUUAAUUGGAAUGUUUGGAAUUGUAACUUUAAUUUUCUUAGGUUGUGAAUGCUUGAGAAUUGGAAUCGAUUGUGAAUUUAUAUAUGCUUGAGAAAUUGAGGUUGUGUAUUUAUUUAUUUAGGUUGUAAAUUUAUAUUUUUGUGAAUGCUUGAGAAUUUGUGGUUUUAAACCGCAAAACGCGGUCGGUUUGCGGUUUCAAAAAUCACCAAACUGCAAAUAGUCGGUCGGUUUGCGGUUUGAGUAAAAAUUCGCGGUUACCGAACCGCAACCACCCCUAAGAUUCACACUCUUCUAAUUACUGAUAUUUUAUCACCGAAUUCAACUUUAGAUGUCAAAUUACUGAUAUUUUGAAAAUGGAUGAGCAUAUUCUUACACGCUAGAUGUCAAAUUCACGAGUUACAGUCAAAUUUGUAUAUUUUGAAAUUUACGAUUUUAAAUUUACGCUAGAUAUUAAAUUGGUAACAAAAUCUCUUCCAAGCCCAAAAAAAAUCAAUAAAAAGAAAUUCCGCUGCCGGGAUUCGAACCCGGAUUAACAAUUAUCCAUUUGUGAGUAUUGCUACAGCGGAUUUUGGUGAUAAAAAAUAUAAAAAAAACUAUAUAAACGAAUUUAUGGAGCUAAAAAGCCCAUUUAUUUUUGCAUUGAAUUUGGGUUUUUCCCAAAAUGAGGUGGGCUGAGGAGCUGGGCCUUGGAGGUCUCAGGUGUGUGUAUCUGAAACUUCUUCUUCGUUCACAAUUUCCCGCCAAAACAACCUUUCCAAAUUGAAAGAGAAACUCGAGAUUUUCCAACAACCACAACCCACAACGCAUAAACCAAACGAGAGAUUGAAAAUUUCUGGAGAGAGAGAGAGAGAUGGAGGUGAAGAAAGCAGGGGCGUCGUUGGAUUCGGUGAUCUCAUUGUUCAACCGUCGGAUCGCGGAGCUUCAAGACCUCGUCAUUGCGCGAAACAGUAAGACCCCACCCGACCCAACUGCUACUCUGCUUUAUUCAAUUUCUCUAAUCCCAGGCUUAAAUCUGAGCUCUGAAAUGUCCACGUGGCAGUGUAUCCGGCGACCAGCGUCACCGAUUUGUCGGCCGUUGACGCCGCAGUGAAGACCAUGGAGCUUCAGGUUCAGGCCAUCAAGGACCGCCUACGCGACGAAACCCUAGCCAUCCCCAAAGCCAAAGUACCCCCUCUCUCCAUCUCUCUCUCUCUCUCUCUCUCUCUCUCUCUCUCUCUCUCUCUCUCAAGUUUUCAAUAUUCGAAAUUUGAAUUUUCAAAAGGGGAAAUUAAAAAAUGAAGUAAAAUUCUUAAUCCUGCAACUAGGAUUGUAAAAGAAAGAAAUUUGAUCAUCUGGGUGUGUUUGGUACAUAUUUUGCCCGUAUAAUUCUCAGUGAAUUACAAUUAGAUGUUAUAAUGUGAUGGCAGAAACUCAUCGAUGCGGCGGUGAAGCAGCAAAAGAAAUUGCAGGACCUGUCAAGUUAUGCGCCCUCACAUAUUCCUGAAAGAAUGUCUAUGUUAGGUUUGGAUACUAACAGAUGGUAAAACAAAUUUCUCAGGCAUCCAUAUGGAUUAAGUAACUUUGGUUUGAGUUUGAAGUUUAUUUGCAUUUGAUAGCUAGAGGAUUUGUGUUGUGUUGUUUGUUUCAGUUUAUUCCCAGAAGGCUCUCAACAAAACACCGGUUUCGGGUCGUUGAAGCUUGAGGAGGUGCCUGCAGCACUACCUAAGGUAAUAAAUGAUGUGCAGAAAAUUGCUUAGUAUUUCUUAUAGAGUGGCCCUUUUCUUCAUACUAUUGGUGUAUUGCUUAGGGUUGGGUACUAUCAUACUAGAUUGGAUUUUUUUUGUUCUUUUGUGCCCUUGGGAAAUGAUGUGCAGAAAAUGAUAAUGGAAGACUGUUGCUCAGUUCUUUAGCUAGUUUGUUCUCGAACCAUCUUUUGUUUUAUAGUUCAGAUACCAUAGGAGGGUCAUCUGUGCUUUCUAUUUUUGUUAAUUUUAGGAGAAAAAGGGUCGUUCCACUCCACCACUGUGGUUCAUAACUGCUGAAGAGCUGGAUUCCCUGUCAGGGUGAGUGAACUUUUCUUAAUUUCUCUUACUUUAUUUGUUAAGAGCGCGUCCCAUCUUCACUGUAUGCUUUUGAAAACAAAAGCUUACUCACAUGAUAGGUGCGUUCACAUCUGAGUUGGGCAUAGGCUGUCCAAAUGGGACAUCUCAAAAUCAAGUUGUAUAAAUGUGACAUAGAGAGGUAUAGUAAUUGUGUAAAUCUAUGAGGUCGAACUUCUACAUGUACAAACAAGUAAUAGUAUUGGACUUAAGCCUUGUCUCAAAUGGUUAACAAGUAAAGUUGGUUGUCACGUCUUCUUCUAAUUCCAGAGUAAAAAUGAGUUAGAUGACUUGUCGCUGUCACGUCUUCUUCUAAUUCCAGAGUAAAAAUGAGUUAGAUGACUUGUCUGUCGACCUGAUCUUAAAGUACUAUACAUCCACAAACUACAGACAUUUCCUUUGUUGGGAACAAAAAGCUUCCCCUAGUAUGCAAGUAUGCAAAACAAAAACAAAAAAACGCUACGGGAAUAAAAUUGAUGAAAAGCAAGAAAUAUGGCAAUGCUAAAAAGGAUUUAGAAGGUGUUCUCUUUCCAUUCAUACAGAUAUCUCGUAAUAUUAUCCUUUCUUUUUCAUUGAAGAAUGUUCCACCACUUCAAAAUCUCUAACUCUUUCCAGCUAUGAUACACAUACUAUAACAAUUAAGGUUUCCAAUUUGAAACAUAACUUUCUUUGUGUUGCCUUGGCAUAUAAGAGAAUAUGAUAGCUCGUAAUUCAAUAGAACUGUGAUAUCUAUUGGGUAAUCCGAUAUUGUCUCCUUUUAAUUUUUCCCCAAUUUUCUUUCCAUGGUGGAUAGGUGAUGGAAAAUGAGUUCUUAGGUAUCUAGUCCUUAUUAUUCAUGUCAUUUGGUUGCUCUAAGUAUUUUUAGCUGCAGAUACAUGAGAGGAAGGCUUACUGUAGAAAAGAUCAAUGCAGCUAUUAAUGACAUGGCAACAUAUGCUGAAGCAAAUUCUCAGCUUAUAUCUGCCCCGAAGAAGAGGGUUUAUGCUCCAUCUCUUUGAGUUUUUGGUUUGUACAUUAAUGCUAUUGCACAGGUCUCACUCUGGUGACCAAUUAUCAUGCAGGUGGCAGGAGAUAGUUGGGAAAAGGCCCUGGUAAGUGAACUUAUAGGUUUUCAAUGUUCUGGGGUUCCAUUGGUGGCCAAUUGGGCCCAUGGGUUACAAAGUGGGAGAUCGCUAUCUCUCAUCAUAUAAGCCUCUCCAUCCUUGGAGGUGGGAAUUGAUCCCAGGUUAAAAGGGCAUGCUUACUUCACUUUUCUCAGGAUUGAGGGCAGGCCACCUCAUAUUGUGUUGCUUACUAUGCACUCUUCGAAAUAAAUAUAAAAAAGAAGAAGAGAGAAAUAGCAAUGUCCUUUCCUCUGUCCCGUUCCAACACCAUUGUGUUUUCUGUUGGUUAUAAAUGAUGCGUCUAGUAGGGUUUUGGAAUAUGGGACUCUGUGAUCUGUAUUACCAUUUCAGUCAAUGGGCAUGUGGGCUGUCACUGCUGCUUAAGUAGUCAUAUUCCUGAGCAUGGCAUGUAAUUGCUUACUUAUGCCUUAGUAUUCAAUACCCACCCUAAAAUAUGCAGGAACUGAGAGAUAUUGCAAUGACAGAAGCAGUAAAGGGAAAACACUUCUUUCUCGAAACUGACAUGAAGGGACCAGCCUUGAAGCCUGACAACACUGGAAAAGCAAUACUAACUGUAAGUCUGUGCCUUAUCUUUUAUUUUUCAAACUUUUAUGAUGUGAAAAACUAAAAAAGAAAUUAGGAUAAAAAAUAUCAUAGUUCAAUUGAGAAAACUACACUUGUUUUUCACUUAACUUGAGUAAAUAUAUUACCUUCCACGCUUCAUGAACUACAAACUGAAUACUUUAUAUUUUGGUCAAAUUACCCUGGUAUUUGUAUCAAUCUGCUGUACUUGAUUUCUGUUAUCUUUUUAGUUGAGACAAAUGGAGUUAGCUAGUCAUGUAUGUAAGAUAAUCCUUGAGUAUGAUUUAGUUAAUGGCUACAUUCUCUUCUAGCAAAGAGGUCUUAAGUUCUGAUCCUCCCUUCUGAAUAAGUGAUUAAACAAAAAGAGUUUCUGUGCUAUAUCCACUUGGAAGAUGAUGGCUUGACAAGUGCAAGGUUUUGCAAUGGCAUUUAUCUUACAUGCCUUGUUACUUAUGUUCAGUUACUUGAGUGAAUAAAAUUGAAUCCUUGUGCAUGCUGCAUUACAGGUCCUUCGUCACCUUGGUCGUGUAAGCGAGACACGGAUUGGGCCUCAUCGAGUGAUCAUUCUUUUGAAGCGUCAUUGACAGGGCCUGCUUUUUCAAAGAACUGGCGGUUUGGUUCUUAAUCCGUUUCAAGUUUGAACACAACUGCAAGUUCUUACAUUGCAUCCGAGUUAAUUCUGGCCUAACAAUGUGUGGAACCUUGGAAAUGGCAAGAAGCCGAUGAGCUUUUUAGGCUGUGCUCAAUUGGUUAAACUUAUUUUUUAUAGUUAUGAAAAUAUUGGCUAUUGGAGCUUUUUGUGAAGAUCUUUCAUUGAUCUUGACAUUACCACAAUGUAUUUCAUUCUUGAUCUCAUGCUAUAUAUAAUACAACGGUGAAGGAAAAGUCUGACCCUUAUCAAUAAUUAUGCCAAAAUCGAUGAAGCGACAAUAAUACAACUAGAAUACUCAUACAUUCGGCUUAUGGUUGAAUUGGUUGAAUUUUUGAUAGACUAGUAUGUCUGCCUUGCUUAUGCUUUUAUAGUGAAAAAGAAUGCUGCGUAUAGUCAAUAGUAACAGUUUCUGCUAAGACUGCUCAAGGUGAGGUCAAAUGGUAUUGAGUUAAAACUUAGGAUGAUUAAAUGUAUAUACAUGAUAUAUGCAUAAGCUUCCAUGGUUCACAUGCUUUGUGUGUGCAUAUUGUACAUACAUGAUAUUUUCUCGUAUUGUUGACGGACUAGGUAUGAGUGAUCAGUAAUGUUCUUAUAACGUAUACAUUGUAUGAGUAAUGUUUUCUUUCGAGGCUUUUUAAUGUGUGGUCAAAUUCACAGUAUCACAACGUAAUUGUAUUUAUCAUUUCCCUUAUAAAUACGUAUCUUGUAUAGAGGGAACAUGUGUCUUUACAUAGUGUGAGAGUUUAUAUUGGGUUCCUCUUUAUAAAGUCACCAUAAAUUGAUAAAAAGUUAGAUACGUGACUUUUAUGGUAAGAUUAGCAUGACUCAUAUCAUAUACAUUGUUUUCUAAUGACUACGACUUAAGUCAUUCAAUUUAACACACUGCAUACUUAAUAAACAAAUGAACCAAAAGGUGAUCAUAACUUCUCAACAUUGUAUCAAUAAGGAGGGGAAAAAAGGAUGUUGUUUCAUCUCUCAUGUCAACAUAAUUAGUUCUUCCUCAACGAGAAAUUUGAGAGUUUGAGAGUGGUGUAAUCUAUAAGGAUUGAGAUAGGUUUAAAGUGCAUCGUUGUCACAUGUGCCCUGUUUGAGCUCAUAGUUUGGUAUGUUUUGAUCUCGAUACUGAUCAUGAUUUGAUUUGGUUUGAGGAACCUUUUGUUUUGAUUCAGAAUUUAAUUGUAUUGUUACUUAAGUUUGUUCAAUGAAAUAUAGUUUUUCUUCAAAAAGAGAGAAGAAAAAAAAACUGAAUGUAAUGUUGGACUAUUUUGGUUAGUUGCGUGGGAUAUUGGAGAAUGCUAAAGUAUUUCAAGUUUGAAUAACAAGAAGACUGCCACCUGUAUUAAUGGUUUAGCUAGAUAGAUUACCACGUGUCUCAGUUACCGUUUGUUGUAUACAUCAACUCUUUCUCCGUAAUUCAUUAAGCAAGAUCAUAUCAAAUAUGGUGGAUGAUAUUCAUUUUUUCCCAACUCAAUUGGACAUUGGUGUAGUGGUUCACCAACAUUGGUGGAGCAAUUGCUUGGCUCAUUCUUUGGCACAAUUUGGUCUGAAAGCACAAACUUUUGCUUUUGGGAAUAUAUCGCUGCAAGCUGGUUGUCACCGCUCUUGGAAAAGGAUUUAGAGAAUAGUUAGAAUGUUUUUUUAAAAUAGUUUUUUUAGAUGUCUCGGUACUCUUUUUUUUAUAUCUAAUUUUCCUCCAUUGGGGGUUUUCAACGCAAGGUUAUCUGGUCUGCAAGGAAUUCUUGUACUUGGCUGCUUAUUGAAUGAAGUUUUUCACCUUCUUGAUUAAAAAAAAAAAAAAAAAACAGUAUUCUAGUAUGAUACGAUAAUGGCUCUCAUCUUAUGAUAAGAGACUCCACAAAUGUCUUUCAAUUAAAAAGUAAUAUAUUAAUGGAAGAUUCACUAUUAUACCUAAUAUAGGAGCCCAAAUUAUCAAAAUUCAUAUAUGAAAUGGACUUUAGAAACACAUCAAAAGCCCAUUUACAAUAUAACAAAAAGGCUUAUAACUUCUUUUAAAUUACAAAACUGCCAUUGAUUUCUUAAAACAAACUUAACUUCAAAAUCUCAUAAAAAAUCAAAAUUAAAUUCAAUAGGGUCAACUAUCAUUUUUUGAGUUUUUUUUGGGUUUGUUUAUAGAAAUUAAAUAGUGUAGGGUUUAUUUAUAAUUUUAGUCAUAAGAAUGAGUAUAUAACUAAAUAUCUCUUUAUUAAAACCAAACAAACCAAGAGGCAGCCCAAGGCAACAAAUUUACAACCAACCAGCUCAAAGCUGAAAAAGUGAGAAACAACAUAAAGGUCCAACAAGUUAAUCAGGACCUAAAACAACAACAAAACCUAACCAAAGCUGAAAACUAAAAACAAAACUAGACCUAGCUGAUGCAAAAGCCAAUACCUUGCUCAUCAUUAGGUAAAAAUCAAAGAGUGAAUUAAUCCGAAAAUUAAACACAGCAUUGCCACAAACGUCAUCCCCAGGAAGGAUAACAAGAUGAGAGCAUGGAUGCUGCUUAGUCUUUGCCCUGUUGUCAUUCUUUUUCUUCUAGGAGCAAGUGCUUCUCGACGAGCAUACAUGGUUAAUUCUUUCUGAUAUGAACAAGUAAUUACUAUUCUCUAAUUAUGAUUGAACAAACAACCUGGCUCUCAUGUUAUUUAUAAGCAAGUAAGAUGGCUAUGAUCAUCGGAAUCCUUUUAGGAAAAGAUUAAGAAAUUUAAGUUCAUCAAAUAAGGAUUUGCUGGCUAAUACUUGAAAAACAAGGAAUCAAAUCCUUUUUAUACUUUGUUUUCCACUUUAUUAAUCUAAUCAAAUUAUAAAUUUAUUUGAAAGCCAGCCUAAUAAAUCUAUGUUUUAUUCUUAGCUAUAAACAUUAACCUAAACGCGUUUUUGAUGUCCCAUAUGGAUUCCAAAAUUAGAUCGAAAGUUGUAGGGGCAAAUUUUGGUAAUCGAAAUUUGUGUUUUGUGCUUUGAUUUCAUAACCACGUUUGUUCAUGUUUAAAUUGUUUCUGAGAAUCAUGCCUACGUGUGCCCCUUUGCCAUGUAAUUUGUUCAUAUGUGGCGUGAACUUUUACUGCACUUUUUUUUUUGGUUACCCAAACAACAAAAUUGACUGCAUUAAAUGAAGCACAUCGCAUUCGUAUCUAUAGUUUCACUGGUCGACAUUAAUGAAAAUUCUCUUGUCUCUUUGUUGUAUUAUAGAUCAUGAUGAAGAUUGAGCUCAACCUCUGGUCGACAUUAUUUGUCUAGCUAAAUAGUGGAACUUGUGUGGCAAGCAGCAAUUGAGGUAUGAACAAAGAUGCUAAAUUGAGGUAUUUUGUUUGAUGAGUCGCAUUUUCCCUAUCUUUAUGCAUAAGAUAUUUUUCACUACCUAUGAAAUCUGGGAUUUGUGCAUGAAAGCAUCCUUCCCAAAAGAAUUAAGAUUUCAUGGAUGGAUUGUUUUUUAUUUUAUUUUUUUCAAUGAACCAUAAUAAUUAAAUUUUGAUACAGAGAAAUCCAUAUAGUUUGUUCAUUGAUCUUGACACCACCAACAAUAUUUCUAUUCUUGAUCUCAUGCUAUAUACAAGGGCGAAGGAAAGGUCUGACCCUUAUCAAUAAUGGUGCCGAAAUUGAUGAGCUACUAGGCCAUGUUUAGUGACUGGGAUUGGAUUGAAUUAUGAGGUAGAAUUGAAUUGCAAUGGAUUGAAAUGAUAACACUAAUCCAAUGAUGUGUUUGAUACUACACGUGAUUAAGGGGUUGGAUGAAUUGAAAUGUGCUAUAUUACAUGACUUAGGAGGAUUCGAUAUAAUUCAAUCCAACUUGAUCCCCACCUUUUGGUAGGAUUCAUAAUCCUUGAUGUAGAACAUAUGGCGGAAGCAAUCGAAGAUGAGUUGGAGUGACGCACGCGCAAGGGUAAAUCGGGCAAAUUUCAGAUUUGGGCUUCGAGCUCAGAAUCGAGCCCAUAACCCAUCGAUUCGAAAAGAAUGACGUCAUGAGUAAAACUCAUUGCUUAACUAUGAGUAUGGGUUUUUUCGGGCAUCCGAGAUCGUUUAGUUUUCCGAAAUCCAGUUUUAAUGGUUUUACAAUUUUUGGAAGCUUUGUUAUUUUUUCUAUUUUAAUUCCUUGUUUAUUCCUUAGGUUUCUAGGAGUAUUCAAACAGAUUUUACUCGUGGCUAUUCUAUUUUGUUAUUCUAAUUUAUGAAAUAAACUUCAAGGUUUCCUCAUAUCUUCCUGGUGGAUUCCAAAGUUAUAUGUUUUAGGCUAAGGUUUUUGCCAAUCUAUUGUCUGGCUACGUCAAUCCUACUACAUUUUGGCUUUAGUAGGAUUAGACAUAAUCCAAUCCAUGUUGUUGUUAGGCCACCAAACAUUUGACUAGGAUUAUGAAUCAUAUCUACAUAAUCCAACUCACUAAACAAGCCCCUAGAAUAUUCAUACAUUUUCGGCUUAUGGUUGAAUUGGUGAUUUCAAAGAAGUGUGUAUUUUUGCUUUAAAAAAAAUAUUAAUGUGUGUUCACAGAAGGUUUAACUUCAAAAUAUAAUUAUCCAUCUUGUAUACAAAUUCUACAAAAUAUCCUUAGUUAAUAAAAAGGAAGAAGUCAUCGAUCCCGAACAAGGUUAAAGUGCCCAUGAUAUUCUGCCCACCAAGGAGAACUUGAUGAAGAGAGAGGUGGCGGUUUCCUCUGAGUGUUGUGUGUGGGGGGGAAAUAGGAAUCAGAACCUGGAUGCAGAUGGUCUUAAGGGAGAAAGAAGGGGAAGUGCGGGAUUUGAUAUUGUUGACUUUGUGGCUAUCUGGACAAAUCGCAAUAACAAGUUUUGGAAUGGUAACAAAAGAGCCCUCAAGAAAUUGGUGCUUUUGCAAUUGGAUGCAGAGAGGAGUUCAAGAGGGCUCGUACAAGGAUAGACCCAGGAUUUGAAAAUAGGGUGGGUUAAAUUUACCUUACAUACAAACUUAAAAAACUUGACGGUGAAUUUCAUUUAAGUAUGAAUUUUAAGGUAAAUUAACAAUUACAUGAUAAACUUAUCCAUGAAAGGAAAAGAAUUGAAAGCAUUUAUCAUCCAUUACAAAAGAAGAAAAAAAAAACUGAAGCAUUUUAAUCUAUCUAGAGCCAAGCCAACUUGGAAAAUAAAAAUGAAAAGAAGGCAGCCAAAAUUUAUAAGAAAAAAAAUGAAUUAUCGUUUUAUGUACACUAGAAAAGGUAAAAAAAAAAUUGGACAGAAAAAAGUAGUGUGUUUUCUAAAAAGGGUUGAGUAUUAAAUAUUAAUGUGGGGUUAAUAUUUAUUUUACGUACUGCCACACUUGUGGGAUUAGUUAACUAAAGAACAAAAAAGAGAUUUUCUGUGGCUGGGAUCACUGGGAUGGGGUGUAUGGAGGUGUGCUUUGGUGGGCUAAGUAUUAAUAUUGGACUAGUAAAAUAUCAAGUCACCUGGGCUAUAGCCCAUGUUAACAUGGACGUAGGACUGUCCUGGAGCUUGCACGAGAAAGUUGAAGGAGAAAAUUCGUGAUAACCAUAUUCCAUGGCAGCCCCCUCCGAGUGGAUGUGUUAAGGUAAAUUUUGAUGGGGCUGUGGGAGAGGCUGGAGGUGUAGGAAUGGUGGUACGUGAUGAGAAGGGGCAGUUUGUGGCUGCUGCUGUGGUGCACAUUGUGCAGGCUUUAGUGGCUGGGGACACUGAGGCUUAUGCGCAUGCGGCAAGAGAGGCUGUGAGCCUGUGAUGCUUGCACAGAAAUUUGGGCUGCAAAAUGUAAUUUUUCGAAGGAGAUUGCAUGCAAGUAAUCACAGCCCUCGCACAACCGGAUGAAGACCAAUCCUAUUUUGGUAGUAUAAUUGAAAAUAUAAAAACCCUGGUUAAAGGGUACCACAGUGGGUUUAGUUUUAUGUUCACGCGGCAUCAAGCUAACGAAGUGGCUCAUAGACUUGCUAGGUGUGCUCUUUCUUGUAAGUCUACAAUUGAGUAGUUUGAAGAACCACUAGAUAUUAUUAAGGACACUUCGAUUAAUGUUUGUAAUCGGGAUAACAUAUAUAUUUAUCAGUAAUGUUUCCUUACGAUGCUUUUUAAAUUCACAAUAUCACAACUAAAUACAUAUGUUGUACAGAGGAAAUAUGUGUCUUUACGUAGUGUGAGAUUUAUAGUGGGAUCCUAUUUACAAACUCCAUAAAUUGAUAAAAAGUUAGAUACGUGACUUUUUAUGGUAAGAUUAACAUGACUCAUAUCAUAUACAUUAUUGUUUUCUAAUGACUAUGACUUAAGUCAUUCAAUUUAACACACUGCAUACCUAAUAAACAAAUGAACCAAAAGGUGAUCAUAACUUCUCAACAUUGUAACAAUGAGGACGGGGAAAAAGGUGCUGUUUCAACUUCAUUUCUCUCAUGUCAACAUAUAUAUAUAUAUAUAAUUAGUUUUUCCUGAACGAGAAGUAGGAGACUUGAGUGGUGGGGCAUAUUGGAACAUUAGAGCUCAAACGGAGUAAUUCAUCUCUGCUUGGUGUAAGCUAUGAGGAUUGAGAUAGGUUCCAAAGUGCAUCGCUGUCUCAUGUGCCCCGUACUUGCAAUAAUGUAGCUCAUAGUUUGGUAUGUUUUGAUCUCGAUACUGAUCAUGAUUAGGUUUGGUUUGAGGAACCUCUUGUUUUGAUUCAGAAUUUGAUUGUAAACCUCUAGUUUUGAUUCAGAAUUUGAUUGUAUUGUUACUUAAGUUUGUUCAACGCAAUAUAGUUUAUCUUCAAAAAGAGAGAGAGAAAAAAAAAUAACUGAAUGUAAUGUUGGACUAUUUUAGUUAGUUAGGCGGGAUAUUGGAGAAAGCUAAAGUAUUUUAAGUUUGAACACAUGCUAGUUUAGAGUCAAAAAAAAAAAUCUUCUGCAUGAUCAGUGACAGAGGCAGAAAUUGAGGUUAGAGGAGACCCUCUUGUAAAAUAUAAAAUAAAGGAAAUGAGAGCAUCUUGAAAAUCAUUUUCAGACUCCUUGACCAAUAUAGCCUAAAGUAAAAAUCAAGAAAUAAGCUUUAAAUUACAGCUUUCACAAGUUCUGAUUGUUGUAUAUAUAAAACCCUUGUAUCCUCUUUCAAUAUUCAAUUUAACUCAAUUCAUACACACAACAUUAAAUUAUUUAAGAGAGAGAGAGAGAGUUGAGAGUUGAGUAGGGGCCUCGGACCCCUCAGAUCCCCACAUGGCGCCAUCACUGUACAUGACAUGACAUUUCUCUGGGUGUCAUUGUUCUGUAAAUCGUUUUCUUCUAAAAUAUUCAUGGCCUUGACCCAUCUCUAGGUUUACACUACUGAACUGAAUAGUCUGAAUUCUAUAUGGAGACAAAUUUCUUUAUUUGAUGAUGUAUAUAUCGUAAAUAUUUUUCACACAUUUUAUUAUUGUUAGAAAUUAGAGUUGACAAAUACGAUAUACGAUUUUCCAUGUAUUCCUUCCCAUGUAUUAUUUUUUCCAUUGCCUACCCCAUUGGAUCUCAGUCUCCACCGUAAGAAUAAGUUUAGGAUUUGUAGGGAAUAAAGAGAAAACGAAAUCAUCAUUUUUUUUUUGGCCCUAGAAAACACUCUGUCUACCUUUUAUCAAAGGGCCGUAAGUGUUUUCAAGCAGGUUUACCAAGUGGUUGUGGCCCUCCCUUUCUCUCUACUUGACAUCUAGUAUUGAAAUAAGAUUAUCUUUCCUCCCAAUGUAACAAAAAAAAGAAAGGGUAUAAGUGGUAUUUUUUCUCUUCUUCUUCUAUGUCAACUAAAGCGUAAGCGGUGAAAUUGGAGUUAUGAAUUUAUAACCUAUGGAUAAUGAAACCAAGUAUUUCUACAGAAUAUAAAUUUAUGGGUAAUUAAUCUACUUAUAUAUUAUCCGAAGUUAUAUCACAUAACAAUAUUCCAUUAUUAUACAAUAAUGGCUCAAACCUUAGGACAAGAAACACCACAAAUGUCUUUCAAUUAAAAAGUAAUAAAUAAAAAAAUGUAAAUUCAUUAAAACCAAACAAACCAAGAGGCAGCCCAAGGCAUACCCAACAAAUUUACAACCAACCGGCUCAAAGCUGAAAAAGUGAGAAACAAUAUAAAGGUCCAGCAAGUUAAUCAGGACCUAAAACAACAACAAAACCUAACCAAAGCUGAAAACUGAAAACAAAACGAGACCUAGCUGAUGCAAAAGCCAAUACCUUGCUCAUCAUUAGGUAAAAAUCAAAGAGUGAAUUAAUCCGAAAAUUAAACAAAGCAUUGCCACAAACGUCAUCCCCAGGAAGGAUAACAAGAUGAGCGCAUGGAUGCUGCUUAGUCUUUGCCCUGUUGUCAUUCUUUUUCUUCUAGGAGCAAGUGCUUCUCGACGAGCAUACAUGGUUAAUUCUUUCUGAUAUGAACAAGUAAUUACUAUUCUCUAAUUAUGAUUGAACAAACAACCUGGCUCUCAUGUUAUUUAUAAGCAAGUAAGAUGGCUAUGAUCAUCGGAAUCCUUUUAGGAAAAUAUUAAGAAAUUUAAGUUCAUCUCAAAUUAGGAUUUGCUGGCUAAUACUUGAAAAACAAGGAAUCGAAUCCUUUUUGUACUUUGUUUCCACUUUAUUAAUCUAAUCAAAUUAUAAAUUUAAUUGUAAGCCAGCGAAAUAAAUCUAUGUUUUGUUCUAAGCUAUAAACACGUUAACCUAAACGCUUUUUUGAUGUCCCAUAUGGAUUCCAAAAUUAGAUCCAAAGUUGUAGUUGCAAGUUUUGUUAAUCAAAAUCAGUGUUUUGUGCUUUGAUUUCAAAACCACAUUUGUUCAUGUUUAACCAUUGUUUUAUGAGAAUCAUGCCAACGUGUACCCUUUGUCAUGUAAUUUGUUCAUAUGUGAGGUGAAUUUUUACUGCACUUUUUUUUUUCCGAUUACCCAAACAACAAAAUUAACUGCAUUAAAUGAAGCACAUCUUAUCUAUCGUUUCACUGGUCGACAUUAAUGAAAAUUCUCGUUUCUGUAAUAUAGAUCUUGAUGACGAUUGAGCUCAAACUUUGGUCGACAUUAUUUGGCUGGCUAAAUAAUGGACCUUUGAAUUUGAUUGAGCCAUUUUGUCUUGUUUUUGUCUGAUAAGUUGCUUUUUCAUAGCUUUACGCAUCAGAUAUUUGUCACUACCCAGCCUGGGCCGCGAGGACUAUAGCCUAGGGCCCCAAAUAAUUUUUUGUUGUUGUAAUCUAUAUAUAUUAUAAAUAUUUGUUUAGGUCUAUAAUUAAGUAAAAAAGAAAAUACAUACAUGUGCAAAACAAAAAAUUCGUUCUUGUUAAACUAUGAUUAAGGGAAAAAAGCUUCAUUCUAAUUUAUUCCCUUUCCCCACUCAAAAGUCAUAAUAAUUAAAGCUUCCUAGAAAUCUGGGAUUAGUGCAUGAAAGCUUCCUUCCCAAAAGAAUUAAGAUUUCAUGGAUGGAUUGUAAUUUUUUUUAAUGAACCAUAAUAAUUAAAUUUUGAUAUAGAGAAAUUCAUAUUGUUUGUCUUGUGACUAAAGAAUAAAAAAAUAUUUUCACGAAAAAGAAAAAAAAGAAAAAAAAGAAAAAAGAAAAACAAAAUAUUGACAGUGGAGAACCAUUUAUCUUCUGGGUGUGAAACCAGUGAGCAAGUAGAACGGAUGGUUCCAGUUUGAUUUCCAGUUUGAUUGUUAUUAGGUCGACACAUUUGGUAGUUUACUAGUUUUCAUUACAUAAUUACUCCUUGUUGUGAAAGUGAUAUCUCUCAUUAUGAAUUCGGUGGUAAAGAGCAUCUAUCUACACAACCAAGACAGGUGCUUCAUGUUGUCAAAGUGAUAUCUCUUACUAGUCUAGAGGCUCGUCGUUCAGUGAUAGAGAGCUAUCUACACACUCAAAAUCGAUGUCGACUGGUAACUCCCUUUAGUAGAAGGAGAACCUUGAUUCUUGGAAGUAUUUCGCAAAAUAAGGACACGAUCAAGAUGUGUAAACCUUCUUUGCCUAAUAAGAACACGGGAGUCCUUUGUUUUGGUGCCAUAGAUUAGAAAGCACAAAAUUCAGAAUGCUCCAAAUUUGAAUAUGACCUAUUGCUACCCAGAAUAGUGUACGCUGUCUGCACACAUGGGGGUGUCUUUGACGAAUUUAUAUAUAUAUUUUUUCAGGAAAAGAAAGUUUUUUUUUAGUCAGAGAAAAAGAAAGUCUAUAAAUACCCUAAUUGUGUUCACUAUAUCCACCACCUCCAUCUACAAGUUAACGCAAGUAUAUAUUUCAAUCAGGCACUUCACCGCCUGAGGGGAAUUNNNNNNNNNNNNNNNNNNNNNNNNNNNNNNNNNNNNNNNNNNNNNNNNNNNNNNNNNNNNNNNNNNNNNNNNNNNNNNNNNNNNNNNNNNNNNNNNNNNNCAAAGAAUCCAACGCCUUAAAGUUAAGCAACUUUAAACCUAUCAACCUAUUAUGAAAAAUUAUAAAGACAAUCAACAAUGUAAUCAUCGAGGUUAAAAUCGUAUCGAAGUAUUCAACCUUACUUUUUUUUUGUUUUUAGUAACCGAAAGAAAAAGCAAGAUAAUAACUUCUCAAACUGGAAAUACAAUUAUUUGAAAACCAAAAGUAAGUAAAGAUAAAAUAAAAGCAAGAUGAAACAAAUUAUAAAACAGAAUGAGCUAAAAUUAUAUAAUAAAGAAAAAGAAAAACUACAUGAAAAGGAAAAAUGCAAAAUAAAAAGUAAACACAAAAUAAAGGAGUCCAAUUUUCCUGUUUUCAAUUUCCAUGUGCCCUCACUCUCCUUUAUCUAAUUUUACAACACCACACAUGCAUUGCACUCUAGUUAUCAAAAGUCGAUAUUUGAGACCUCCUGUCUUGAGUAUGUGUUUUUACAAGGUAAGUAUUUAUCAUUACCCUUAUGAAUACAUAAAUUGUAUAGAGGGAGAUGUGUCUUUACAUAGUGUGAAAGUUCAUAGUGGGCUCCUCUUUACAAAGUCACCAUAAAUUAAUAAAAAGUUAGAUGCAUGACUUUAUGGUAAGAUUAGCAUGACUCAUAUCAUAUUCAUUAUUUUCUAAUUACUAUGACUUAAGUCAUUCAAUUUAACACAAUGCAUACUUAAUAAAUAAAUGAACCAAAAGGUGAUCAUAACUUCUCAACAUUGUAACAAGGAAGGGAAAAAAGGGUGUUGUUUUAACUUCAUUUCUCUCAUGUCAACAUAAUUAGUUUUUCUUCAAUGAGAAAUUGGAGAGUUUGAGAGUGGUGAGGCAUAUUGGAACAUUAGAGCUCAAACUGAGUAAUAUUUCAUCUCUCUGUGCUUGGUGUAAUAUUCUAUGAGGAUUGAGAUAGGUUCAAAGUGCAUCGUUGUCUCAUGUGCCCCGUUUGAGCUCAUAGUUUGGUAUGUUUUGAUCUCGAUACUGAUCAUGAUUUGGUUUGGUUCGAGGAACUCUUGUUUUGAUUCAGAAUUUGAUUGUAUUGUUACUUAAGUUUGUUCAAUGCAAUAUAGUUUAUCUUUAAAAAAAGAGAGAAAAAAUAACUGGACUAUUUUAGUUAGUUGAGUGGGAUAUUGGAGAAAGCUUAGAGUCACACAAAAGUUUUCUACAUGACAUGACAUUUGUCUGGGUGUCUUUGUUUUGUACAAAAGUUUUCUACAUGACAUGACACAUUUCAUGGCCGUGGACCCACUUCUAGGUUUACACUUCUGAACUGAAUUCUAUACGGAGACAAAUUUCUUUAUUUCACAAUAUAAAUAUUUUUGUAAAAUAAAAGUAAAUUUGGGUUUCUAAAAUAAAUCCUAUUUAUUUUCCAAUUGAAAUUUUUUGCACACAUUUUAUUAUUGUUUCUUAUAAGUUACAAUUUACAAAUAUCGAUAUACGAUUUUCCCAUGUAUUCCCAUUUUCAUUGCCUGCCCCAUAGGAAAUCAGUCUCCACCAGUGGUGAUGUUAUAAGAAUAAGUUUAGGAUUCGUAGGGAAUAAAGAAAAACACCAAAUCAUCAAUUUUUUUUUUUGGCCCUAGAAAACACUCUGUCUACCUUUUAAUCAAAAUCGGUGAUUUUUUAUUUAUUUUUAUUUAUUCUAUUUUCCCUUUCUUCUUCUUUAUAAAAAAAAAGUGUAAGUAGUGGAGUUGGAGUUAUGAAUUUAUAACCUAUGGAUAGAACCAAGUAUUUCUACCAGAUAUAAAUUUAUGGGUAAUUAAUCCACUUGUAUUAUCACAAGUUAUAUCACAUAAUAGUAUUCCAAUAUUAUAAGAUAAUGGCUCUAACCUUAGGAUGAGAAACGCCACAAAUGUCUUUCAAUUAAAAAGUAAUUAAAAAAAAGUAAAUUUAUUAAAACCAAACAAACCAAGAGCAGCCCAAAAAAUGUACAACCAACCAGCUCAAGCUGAAAAAGUGAGAAACAAUUAUAGAAAGUCCAACAAACCUAACCAAAGCUGAAAACUGAAAACAAGACUAGACCUAGCUGAUGCAAAGCCANNNNNNNNNNNNNNNNNNNNNNNNNNNNNNNNNNNNNNNNNNNNNNNNNNNNNNNNNNNNNNNNNNNNNNNNNNNNNNNNNNNNNNNNNNNNNNNNNNNNNNNNNNNNNNNNNNNNNNNNNNNNNNNNNNNNNNNNNNNNNNNNNNNNNNNNNNNNNNNNNNNNNNNNNNNNNNNNNNNNNNNNNNNNNNNNNNNNNNNNNNNNNNNNNNNNNNNNNNNNNNNNNNNNNNNNNNNNNNNNNNNNNNNNNNNNNNNNNNNNNNNNNNNNNNNNNNNNNNNNNNNNNNNNNNNNNNNNNNNNNNNNNNNNNNNNNNNNNNNNNNNNNNNNNNNNNNNNNNNNNNNNNNNNNNNNNNNNNNNNNNNNNNNNNNNNNNNNNNNNNNNNNNNNNNNNNNNNNNNNNNNNNNNNNNNNNNNNNNNNNNNNNNNNNNNNNNNNNNNNNNNNNNNNNNNNNNNNNNNNNNNNNNNNNNNNNNNNNNNNNNNNNNNNNNNNNNNNNNNNNNNNNNNNNNNNNNNNNNNNNNNNNNNNNNNNNNNNNNNNNNNNNNNNNNNNNNNNNNNNNNNNNNNNNNNNNNNNNNNNNNNNNNNNNNNNNNNNNNNNNNNNNNNNNNNNNNNNNNNNNNNNNNNNNNNNNNNNNNNNNNNNNNNNNNNNNNNNNNNNNNNNNNNNNNNNNNNNNNNNNNNNNNNNNNNNNNNNNNNNNNNNNNNNNNNNNNNNNNNNNNNNNNNNNNNNNNNNNNNNNNNNNNNNNNNNNNNNNNNNNNNNNNNNNNNNNNNNNNNNNNNNNNNNNNNNNNNNNNNNNNNNNNNNNNNNNNNNNNNNNNNNNNNNNNNNNNNNNNNNNNNNNNNNNNNNNNNNNNNNNNNNNNNNNNNNNNNNNNNNNNNNNNNNNNNNNNNNNNNNNNNNNNNNNNNNNNNNNNNNNNNNNNNNNNNNNNNNNNNNNNNNNNNNNNNNNNNNNNNNNNNNNNNNNNNNNNNNNNNNNNNNNNNNNNNNNNNNNNNNNNNNNNNNNNNNNNNNNNNNNNNNNNNNNNNNNNNNNNNNNNNNNNNNNNNNNNNNNNNNNNNNNNNNNNNNNNNNNNNNNNNNNNNNNNNNNNNNNNNNNNNNNNNNNNNNNCAGUGCUUCUCGACGAGCAUACAUGGUUAAUUCUCUUUGAUAUGAACAAAUAAUUUCUAUUCACUAAUUAUGAUUGAACAAACAACCGGCUCUCAUGUUAUUUAUAAGCUAGUAAGAUGGCUAUGAUCAUCGGAAUCCUUUUAGGAAAAGAUUAAGAAAUUGAAGUUCAUCAAAUUAGGAUUUGCUGGCUAAUACUUGAAUAACAAGGAAUCGAAUCCUUUUUGUACUUUGUUUUCCACUUUCUCUUACAUCCCUUGUUACUUAUGUUCAAUUACUUGAGUGAAUAAAAUUGAAUCCUUGUGCAUCUUCAUUACAGGUCCUUCGUCACCUUGGUCGUGUAAGCGAGACAUGGAUUGGGCCUCAUCGAGUGAUCAUUCUUUUAAAACGUCAUUGACAGUGCUUGCUUUAUCAAAGAACUCGUUACAUUGCAUCCAAGUUAAUUCUGGCCUAACAAUGCGGAACCUGUGAAAUGGCAAGAAGCCGAUGAGCUUUUAAACUUAUUUUUGAUAGUUAUGAAAAUGUUGGCUAUUGGAGCUUUUUGUGAAGGAAUAUCUUUCCUUGAUAUUGACAUUACCAUCAAUAUUUUUAUGCUUGAUCUCAUGCUAUAUACAACAGUGAAGGAAAGGUCUGACCCUUAUCAAUAAUUGUACCAAAAUUGAUGAAGCGACAAUAAUGCUAUACACUAGGCCAUGUUUGGUGACUGGGAUUGGAUUGAAUUAUAAGGUAGAAUUGAAUUGCAAUGGAUUACAUUGGAUUGAAAAUGAUAACACUGAUUCAAUGAUGUGUUUGGUACUACACAUGAUUAAGGGGUUGGAUUAAUUGAAAUGUAGUAUUACAUGGCUUAUAGUAGGAUUAGACAUAAUUCGAUCCAACUUAAUCUCCACCUUUUGGUAGGAUUCAUAAUCCUACUACAUUUGGCUUUAGUAGGAUUCGACAUAAUCCAAUCCAUGUUGUUUUUAGGCCACCACACAGUUGACUAGAAUUAUGAAUUCUAUCAAACUACAUAAUCCAACUCACUAAAUGGGCCCCUAGAAUAUUCAUACAUUUUCAGCUUACGGUUGAUUUGCUCAUUUCAAAGAAGUGUGUAUUUCUACCUUAAAUUUUUUUAAUUAAUUUGUGAUCAUAGAAGGUUUUAACUUCAAAAUAUAAUUAUCCAUCUUGUAUACAAAAUUCUAUAAAAUAUCCUUAUUAGUUAAUAAAAAGGAAGAAGUGAGAAUAAAUUAUUAUUAAAUAAGGAUAAAAUAGCGAACUAACAAUCUUUCAUAAUAAUUCGUAGUGCUACACAGGAAAAGUACUUGAGUUUUAUGGUAAGAUUAGCAUGACUCAUACCAUAUAUAUUGUUUUCUAAUGACUGACUUAUAGUCAUUCAAUUUAUCAAAGGUGAUCAUAACUUCUCAAUAUUGUUACAAUAAGGAGGGGAAAAAAGGUGUCGUUUUAACUUCAUUUCUCUUGUAUCGACACAUAAUUAGUUCACCAAGGGAGGUCUGAAUUCAUCUCUGCUUGGUGUAAUAUAUGAAAAUUGCAUGGAGAUCUUUUCAUGGUUCCAAAGUGCAUCGCUGUCUCAUGUGCCCCGUACUUGCAAUAGCUCAUAGUUUGGUAUGUUUUUGAUCUCGAUACUGAUCAUGAUUAGGUUUGGUAUAUGCAACGUCCCGUUUAGAUUUAUAAUUUUUUUGUUUCAGGAUUGUAUGGUUGCGUAAGUUUAUUCAAUAUGCGACUGAGAAACCUUAGCUGCACUCUGAUUCCCUUUUUUCUUGUUAACAACCAACCAUGAGGAAGCUAAGGGGGGGAGGUGGCCACUGCCCCUCAUCCCCUCUGCCCAUCUUACCCUUCCUCUCAUCAUUUUUCCUUCUUUUUCUCCCAUAUUUUCCUUUCCUUUUAUCCCAUCUUCUCCUCCCCAGAUAGUCUAGAUCUGUUUGGAUCAAGGUCUGUUUGUCUGUUUGUUUUGUUUGGUUGUUUUUGUAAUGUUCCAGGUGAUUGGUGUUGUCUUUGUAUCGGCAGCGGCGAGAGUAGUGACGCUGGAUUGUGUCUUUCCUUGGGAGGGUUGUGAUAUCUGGUGGCUGAUGUUUUGUCUUUGUUUUAACGGCGGCGGUAGCAGCGACGCUGGUGGUUGUUGUUGGGAUGUGAUUCUCUUCUUUACUCUGCGCCGAUCGAAGAACUAUACUUGGUCAUAUGAGGUUUUCUUUGUCAGGUUUCGAAUUGAAGUGGAGAACUUCUCAUGGGUCUUUUUACUGUUGUUUAUGUGUUCGUCCUCUGUGUUCUCUCUUGGUUUCUGCUAUGGUAUGACUUACAGUUUGUAUGAGUGUCAAAGGACUAUGAUUUUGCUCAUAGAAGGCUUCUUUUAACAAUUGGGAUGUUCUGCGGUCCUUUCCUAUGUGUUUACUAUUUGGAAUUUCUACGGUCCUCUCAUGUGGGUCUACUGUGUUGGUCUCUAGUUGUGGUUCUCGUCGGAAGUCUUUGUGUUAGGUUUUGGUUUUGACUUGUUCUUUUAUUGUAAUGGUCCAGAGUGACAUGAAUUGGAUUCUCUUGUUAGUCCAUGACGUGUGUGGUACUCUUUUCUCUCCUGAGAUUUGUCCCAUGAGGUUGUCUUAGGAAGGUUUUAAUGAAGCCACUGUAUCAUAUCGCUCUUUGUACGUCUGUGGUUUUAUAAAUGAAUUCCCCUUCUAAAUAUGCAAUAUAGUUUAUUUAAAUAAAAAAAUAAUGUAAUGUUGGAGCAGUUUUAGAAUUGGGUGGUACUGGAUAAAGCUAAAGUAGCUCAAAUUUGAACAGAGUCAAAAGUUGCCUUAUGUAUGCGGUUUUUCUUGGGUAUGCGUAAGCACUAAGGGUUCAUUUGGUAUGUCAGACUGUACAGACUAAUGUCAGUCAAAUAGUAUUAAUUUGUUCUAAAAAGUACCGACCGUUUAUAACUGUUGAAUUCAAUUGAAAUAUUGAAUUCAAGGGCUUUAAGUUGCUGACCUGAUCACCAAUUACCCAUUAAAAUAUUAGUAAAAUAUUCAAAAACUAGUAAAUUACGAGUUUGAGCACAAAAUAUCAACCGAAAACCACUAAAUAUGGGAAGAAAUUAGCAAAAGAAAGGUGAUGCUCAAUUUAAACGCAUUUGUUCUUUUCUCUUUGUUUUUUAAAACUGGAAGUAUUGAGUAAUGGAAUUAUAUUAUAGCAAAUUCAAAUGCUGAAUUUGAUGAUGAUUUAUCUGGUUGUAAUGAUUCGUGAAAGUAUAAAGUGGAAAAUGAAAGUUGAAAGGUAUAAAGUGAAAGCACUCCUUUUCUAUUAAUUGUUGCCGUUUGGUUUUUGUAGUGUUGUUUUGUUUAUAUAAAGUUGGUUUAUAUAGUAUUAAAGGAAAGACAACUAAAGCAUGUGGAACAAAAUGUGAUGGGAAUAAAUUAUAAGACAUGGAAAGAAAAAGAGAUGGGUCUUAAUCAGGAUGUAGACAACUUCACGUGGCCAUGGAAUAUUCCUGUAGUCUUGAUGGGUGUAGGAGUGCAGAUGAUUAUUGAUAAUGUUAUUAUCCCCUCUCAAGCUAAUUUGCGGGUUGAGCUUAAUUAGCUUGACACUUCACUCUUUGAACUUGUGCUUUGGAAGAGAUUUAGUAAAGAUAUCUGUAAAUUGUUGGUAAGAGGACACGUGAGCAAUAUCAAUGGCCUUUGAUUUGACAGCUUUGCAAAACCCAAGAGGAGGUGUCAUACAGCAGUGUAGCUCGGAAGUUCGAGUAUCGUAUCCACAGAAAGCGGUGUAAAAAAAAUAACAGAGCUGAAACAGAACAAUUAAGAUAGAGAAGUAGAUUUAAGCAAGAUUUGAUUUAAAGAAAAUUUAAUUGAUUAAAACACUAAGGCAUUGGGAUUCCACUUUUAACAUAAUCAUGCUAUUCUUUCCCAUUCUUUAUUUUUCUUUCUAGUGCUGGCAGCACCCUUCAUGCUCUUUGUUUUAUUUAUAUCAAUGCCAUUAUCACUUCUUCAUUUGAUAAAUCUUUCUUUGGCACACUUCAUCUACUCAUUGGUUAAUUGGAACUUCAAUAUGCAAUUGAAUUGGAGCUUCUUACGAGUACCCUUUUGCUCUGGAAAGACAAUUAACAGAGAAAGGUUACGUUGGAAGCAAAACAUAAGUUUUUAAUUGGUGAGUUUGCAAAGAAGGGUGCCCUAGAAAUUUUGAAAUUAUGUGGCUCACUUCCAUUAGUUUAUACUUUAUAGUUAUUAAUUUGAUAGUUUCAACAUAUCCAAAGUAGAUAUUGAAAAAAUGGAAAUUUCACAGUAAAUCAAUAUGAGAGUUCAAUUAUUUCUUCUUUUUUUUUGUUAUUUUUUUAUUUUUUUUUCGUGCGAACGUCUGCCUUGGAUCUACCUUAUUGUCUCGAGUGCUACAUGUGUAUUUUACCGAGUCUUUAAGAUGUGCACGGAAAAUGGAAGUAUUAUUGAAAGACACGUACAUACGUGUAUAAUACAAGUAUUAAAUGGGAAAAUACUAAAUUCUUUAUACGGGUAAUAACUCUAGAAAUGUAAAAAAUCAAAAAGGGACUAUGGAGACUUGAGUAAUGGCCUAAUAGUAAUGGAUAAUGCUCUAAACGAAAAUAAGAGAAAAACAUUUAUUAAAAAAAAAAAGGACCCCAAUAUAGCCGAGCGGCAAUACUCUUUAAAUAUAUUACAUUUAACCGUAUAGCCGCGUAGCCAUACUAUUUAUUAAAAAAAUAAAGAAAAAAAAGACCCCAGUAUAGCUGUGAGGCUGUACUAUUUAUUAAAUUAAAUUUUAAAAAAAAGGACCCACCUCAUAACACUAGGUGGCAAUUUUUUUAAUUUAUUUUUUAGCCGCCAUAGCCGCACUCUUUCUUUCAGUCAUGUCUACCGUGAAGCGCACUUUACAGCGUAUGCCAUUGCUAACUUGGGCCAUGGGCUGAAUCCUUCUAAGCUGUGGGAGACGAGGCUGUCUUUGAAUUGUUUUGUUCCUUUCUUUUUCGACCUAUUUGGGCUUGCGUGCCCACAUGGUUUAUGCUUGUAAUUUUCCUUUUUCAGUAUUUUAAAAUAAUAAAAAAAACUCCAUGCGGCUGUACUAUUUACUAAAAAAACUUUAAACAAAAAUCCGCAGUAAGAACCAACAGCAUGAAAAGCACCAUUGCACAACACGAUCAUAGUUGUUUCGAGGAUUAUCCAUUACUAUUAGACGUACGUGUUUUGUUCAACAAAAUUUUGCCAAGUUAGAACUGAAAAGUUCAGCCACUAUACAAUAUUUGUAAUAUAAUUUAUUUAAAUAUUUAAAUAUAUAUUAUUUUUAUUCAAUAAUAUAUGAAAAUUAUGUGUACAAUUCAUGAUUUUUGUGUGUAUUAUUGAAAAUUUUGUAUAAUACAAGUGUAUUGAACUUCAAGAAUAUGUAGGUACGUGUAAAAUACGUGUAUUGUAUGUUUGCUUAUUAAAACAAAUCGUGUAUUUUACCAAGUCUUUAAGACAUGUACGAAAAAGGAAUGUAUUAUUGAAAAAUAUGCACGUAUGUGUAUACUACGAGUAUUAAACAGGAAAAUGUUGAAUUCUUAAUACGAGUAAUAACUCUGGAAAAGUAAAAAAUGAAAAAGGGACAAUAGAGACUCGGAUAAUGGGCUAAUAGAAAUGGAUAAUGUUCUAAACUAAUCUUAUCGAUAAACGAAAAUAAGGGAAAAAACAAUUAUAAAAAGAAAAAAAAAAAGAGACAAUCCUAAUAUAUAUUUAAAGAGUGUAGCCGAUCGGCUAUACCAUUUAUUAAAAAAAAAAAAAAAGGGACCCCUGUAUAGCCGGCCGGCUAGCUAUACUAUUUAAAUAUAUUAUAUUUAAACGUAUAGCCGUGCGGCUGUACUAUUUAUGUUUUUUUUUAAAAAAAAAAAAGAGUACCCGCCGAGCCCUUAGGUAUUGAUACUCGUUUCGUAGGCAUGCCAUAAUUUUGAAUAGAUACUCGUCUCUUUUGCUUGUUCAUUUAAGCUUAUGCGUAACAUACAGAAAGUUUAAGUUAUAUUUCUUCAUGUAGUGUUGUUAAUAUGUGCUGCAUGACAUUCCUUUGUUGUUUUCUUGAGUUUGAAGUUGCUAUCAAGAGGCUUUUUACGCUUUCAAGGAAUUUGUGACAUAACAAUUUCUAAGUCUGCAUUCUAUCAAAAGUUUUUCUCAUUGGAUCAGCUCUUAACUUGUAACUUUCUUGGUUGACUUGUCUCACAUAAGAUCGAAGUUCUUAGUUAUGAUGACAGUAUGGAGCUGUGCUUCUUUCGGGCAUGAGUUCGGAAGCCUUUUAUCGAGCUAUUGAUGAUGGUUUCUAUACUAUGAUUGGAGAAGGAUCAGGAGCAGGUUACAACAAUAAUGUCCCCAGGGAAAAUGGUCGGUGUGGGGAUGCAGACUAUUUUGCAGUUUGGGACCAUAUUUUGGUUCCUGAAAUUGCAGCCAAUAACACACCCUCCCUUCGCUAAAAAAAAGGGCAAUUCCAGAAAAACAUGCUCUCCAAAACCAGAUAAUUUAUGCAUAAAACUCCAUAGAAACUAAAGUGCAUUUCUCAUAAAUAAGAACACCUACGAUAUUUACCUUCAGAAUGUAAGAUGUCAACAAUUUCAUAUUAACUGAUUAUGUACUAUCAUCUUCAAAUAUCAGCAUCUAUUUAUAUCAUUUGGAAUAAUGAGGUCAUCAUAUUUUGUUUGGCCUGGGUGAUCAUUAUAGUUUAUAAUCGUCAUAAACUACCAUUUUCUUAUAGGAUAAACAAUCAGUGAUCUAUAACAAAUAUCUAAAAAGCAAUUCAUGCACAAGAACCAAUUGAUCAUCAUAUAAAUUCCCAAAGAAGAAAAGGCUUGUAACUCACGGGUUCAGUAGCUUAGAUGGUGCGGGACGUAAUACAGUUAAUGCCUCUUUCCACUGCCACUGGCGUUCAGAUAACGAAAGAAGGUGCUGCAAAAUUGACAACUGCCAUUCCCACUCUUCAAAUGUUUAGCAAUUGACGCUUUCCACUCCAAUGCUUGUCUUCCACCCCUACUUACGCCAUCACUUAGAGCAUGAUCUAGUUCAGUUAUAAACUUAUAGUUGAAGGAAGACAGUGAUGUAAUAUAUCUAGUAGUUUCCCCAUGAAAGAUACAACUAAUUUGUUUCCCUCUUCACCUGUUAGAUCAGUUUGCUCUGAAGCACAUGUGUAAUGUGAUUCAGAAUAGCUCCAUGGUGAGGCACAAUGAGCCAAAUUGAGAGAAAGAUCAUCUAUAUGUAAAACCGAACUUAUGACAUUCGCCAUCAUGAUCUGCAUCAUUACAGAAGCAUUAUAAAAUAAUUACAAUGAAGAACAAAGAUGCAGCAAACUAAAAAAACUGAUGACAUCACAUACAAAUUGAGAGCAUUUAGAUUUCAAAGGAAAACAUGAAACUUCAAAGUAAAAUUGAAAAAAAUACCAAAAUGCAAUCCAUUUAGCAGUUGCUAAAUCUCUAGCAUCAGAACACGAAUGAUAAAUAAUUUGUUUUGCAUGCAUUUUUCGGUGAUUAUAUUUUACACAAAACAACUUUCAAAGACAACAGGCAACAUAUUUGCCCGAGGAAACAUGUUAGACAUGUAAUUGCAAGUUGAACUUAUCUGGCAUAAACAUGAGAAAAUAACAGUUUUAACAACCACAAAAAGGAGGUACGAUUGAAAAUGUGUUAGGCUAAAAGAAAACCAUAUUUAGGAUAGACUACCUUGCGAGGGAUGUCAUUGAUCAUUGACAGCCUCCAAAUGGUUCUGUAGAUCUUUCAAAUGGUCAAUGCAACUUGAUGAAAACUUUUUCUUUCACCAGUCAUAUAGUCCUUUCCAUCACUCCAAGCGCAAGAACAGCUAAAUCUAGAGCAUACCACAUGUGCAUAAGUUCAAUAUCCUGCAUCCUACCAUGUAAUAAAAUAUAACAGAGAAACGCGAAACCUGCAUGUGAAGAAAAGCAUGUCAAAUCCCAAAAUGACAAAAAUAUGAAAUACAUUGAGUGCAAAAUUCGUUUGCAGAUCUAAUUUAAGGGUUGGAGAAAUCCAUUUUUGGGAUUGGGGCAUAAUUCUCCCUUGGAUGCAUAAUGCAUUCCCCUCCACCUCCCCGCCCCCUGCACACACACACACACACACACACACACAACAAAAAAGACUCCCACAAACUUGCGAGUUACAACCCAAUAUGAAAGUAUUAUUAUAUUAACGUAUCAAAACUAACAGAAAUAUUACAAUAGCUUCUCUUGGGGCGUGUUUGUUAAAGCAUUUCAAAGACUACACUGUGUGUAACUUAUGUUGAUUGGACAGAGUUUUGGGCUGAAUGUAAUCUGAUUUCAUAUGUCAUGUCAUGAUUGUUGGUCUGAUUUUGAUGGUUUUCUACAAGAUAUCUUUGAAGACGAAAAGAACAAAGAAAUAGUUUUCUUUUCUCUGUUUUCUUUCUCUGUUUUGAUUAAGAUACAGUUUUCCUUGUCAAAACAACAAAGAAAUAGACCAGAACAAGAUUAUUUUGAGGAUUUUGAGGACUUUAUCCGAAGUGGACUUUGAUUUCCAGUAUGAAAUUCUCAACAAAAGGGUCUAACAGGUGAUCUUCGCAUGCUAUUUGUUCUUUCGCAGACAACAUCAACGAUAAUUUUCAAUUCCAUGCUUGACCAGAAUUGACGCAGGCAACAUAAGAGGCAAGAUCAAGCCGAUAACAUAAAGAAUCACAAGGAAAUUUUCGACAAAUCGGGCUAGGCGGCGCCUAGGCGCUAGGCGGCCGCCUAGGCGGCCUGGGCGGCUCUGUGAAAUAAAAAAUUAGUUUCUUUUAGGUUUAUUUUAUUUUAUUUUUUGUAAUUAAAUAAUAUCUUUGCUUUAUUUUAAUUACUUUUAUUAGUAAGUAUGUUUCAAUUAUUAUUUCUUUAGUAAUAUUUUAAUUGAGUAAUAUCUUAGUCUUAUUUAAUUAAUAAUUACUAAUUAGCUUUUAGUUAUUAUUAUUAUUUUUUUGUGAAUAAUUAGUAUUGAUAUAUUUAAUUUGUUUCAUAAAUUACUUAUCAAAUAGUAAUUAAUUUUUUUGAAUUAUUUUGUGCACCUAAAAACCAAGAAAGUGGUUCCAGCAUAGUAGUAUAAAUCACAAAAGAACCAAGACAUACAUAUAGUAUAUUUGAUUUGCUUAUUAACUUAGUUUUUGAUUAAUUGGUUUAUAGUGGUUACAUGUCCCCAGAAUAUGCAAUUUAUGAGUUCUACUCGAUAAAAUCCGUGUGUUGGUGCUAGAGAUAGUGAGUGGGAAGAGAAAUAUAGGAUUUAAUAAUUGGUUUUGAACUUUUGAUACAAUUUAGAAAGUACAUUCCUAUACAAGCAAUUUUAUACUAUGAAAUUCAACAUUCUUUGGUCCACAAAAUGUUGGCAGAUCCCUAUUUUUGUUGUUGUAUUUAUGGGUUUAACCUGUAUUAUUUGUUAUAAAUAAAAUUUAUUUUUUAUUCUUGCCCAAUGGGCUAAUAGCUAGAAAUCAUUAGAAUAUGUGGUAUAAAAAAAAAUUUAUAUUCUCUUUCCCCCAAUGCCACUUGUAUAAAUAAAGUAAUUGAAGAAAUAAUAACUCUAGCCCAACGGGCUAAAGUGGUAUUUUAGCCCUAAACCCUAAAAUUAUUUGCGUAUCUCUUUAUUUUUAUAGAAUAGUCAAUAAUUUUGGUAGCUGGUUUUCUAAUUUUCAAGAACUCUGAAGGCACAUGUAACUAUAUCACUUCAAUCUUGAAGAUGUUGAGUCACAAAUCUUUGCCAAACUUAAACAUGUAAAGGAUUGUCUCUUCCUACCUCCAAAAUUCUUAGUUGUAAAACACUGAGAAUUACAUGACAGAUGCUUGUAUUACCCUAAAUGAUCUCAUUUAGCAGGUUUUCUUACCAUGAAUGCAUAUGUUAUAUUGUUGAGGACUGCACCAUUAUGUACAAUCACAACCGCUCCCAUACUGUGAAUGGUGUUUCCAAAGUACAUUCAGAAUUGCUAAAAGCAAAAUUAUUCAAUAUUUUAAAAUUAUAGCCGCAUGGGUAUACUCUUCAAAUACAUUCGAAUAUUUUAAAAGUAUAGUCGCGCGGACAGAUAUAUCUCGUAGGAGAAGAGUAGGGUUGUCAAGUGCAAUGAGAAAAAGGGUGCAAUUGGGUUUAGUUCAUAAUUACGAUGGAUACAAUUUAGAAAGUAAAUGCCUACAUUUAUACUAUGAAAUUCAACAUUCUUUAGUCCACAAGAUGUUGGCAGAUCCCUAUUUUUGUUGUUGUAUUUAUUGCUUUAACCUGUGUUAUUUGUUAUAAAUAAAAUUUAUUUUUUAUCCUUGCCCAAUGGGCCAAUAGCUGGAAAUCAUUAGAAUGUGUGGUGUUGGUAAGAAUUUAAAUUUCCAUCCCCCAAUGUCACUUGUAUAAAUAAAAUAAUUGAAGAAAUAACUCUAGCCCAAUGGACUAAAGUGGUAUUUUAGCCCCAAACCCUAAAAUGAUAUGACAAAAUUGUAUAUUUAAAGAGGAUAGCCGGGCGGCUAUACUCUUUAAAUACAUUCGAAUAUUUUAAAAGUAUAGCCGUUUGGCUAUACGCUUGAAAUAUCGGCUAAACUUUAAAAUACAUUCGAAACCUAAAUUUACUUUAAAGGUAUAGCCGUUUGGCUAUACGCUUGAAAUAUUAAUUAAUAGUAUAGCUGCCCGCACUACUACAUUUUACACUUUGCGCGACGAAGAGAAUUUCGUCGCUCAAAAUACAUUGUAGUCGCACAAAUUUCAGCGCGACAGAAACUUCGUCGCGCAAAGAUCGUGAAGAAAGACUUUGCGCAACGAAGUUUUUUCAUUGGUCACGCAAAGUGACUUUGCGCGACGAAAAAAUAAUGGUCGCGCAAAGCGACUUUGCGUGACGAAAAAGAUUGGUCGCGCAAAGUGACUUUGCGCGACGAAAAAUAUUGGUAGCGCAAAGUUGUGCGCGACGAAAUACAUUGGUUGCGCAAAGGUUUGCGCGACGAAAUAUAUUGGUCGCGCAAGAUUUUGCGCGACGAAAAACAUUGGUCGCGCAAAGUCUAAAAAAAAUUUUAAAAAAAUAAAAAAUUCCCGCUUCCAAUUUUUGGUACAUGCCCCAAUUUUUUGAGUUUUGCGCGACGAAAUUUUUUUUGUUUUAAAUGUUUUUAAUUUAAAAUAAACUAAUUUAAUAGUUUGCGCUACGAAAUAUUUUGUCGCGCAAGGUUUUUGACUUUUUAUUUUAUUAUUUCUUUAAUAUGAAUUUAUUUAUAUGAAUUUUUUCAAAUUUUUACUUUUUAAAUUUAAUUUAAUUGUAUGAUUUCUUUUUAAAAUUACUUUAAUUUAAAUUGAUAUAAUUUUUACUUUUUAAAUUUAAUUUAAUUGUAUGAUUUUUUAAUUACUUUAAUUUAAAUUGACAUAUUCAAAAUAAAAUUAUAUAUGAAAAAUAGUGAUUAAAUUAUCCAAUAAAUAUAUAUAUAUAUAAUAUUCAAAAUGUACACAUAAAUUAACAAAGUACAAUAAUAAAAUCCUAAUACAAGCGUAUUGUGGUGGUAGUGGCGGAGGAUAUGUUUUGAUAGCUUCCUAAUCCUCAACUUUAGCCGUCAAAGUCUCGAUGAUUCCCUACAAAAAAAACAAAUAUGGUCAAAUAACCACAAAAAAAAAAGGCAUAAUCUCCCCUAAAAUUGUUAUACCACAAAUCCAACCCAAACUCCAAUCCCUCCCCUUUACUCAACCCCAAAACCCACACAAACUCAAAAUUAACUCCAAAAACACAUAUUAAUGAAAAAAAAUUUAAAAUUUGGAGAGAAUAUACCUUUUGGCAAGAUUGAGAGUGAAUGAGAAUGAGAGGAAGAAGUGAGUGUGAGAGAAUUAGAGAAGAUAGUGAUAGAGAGAUGAGAGAGUGAGAGAUAGUGAAGAGAGAGAUGAGAGAUUAAGUGAGAGGAGUGAGUGAGAGAAAUGGUGGGAUUUGGGGAGAGGGAAAGAGAACGGAGAGGUAAGAGUAGAGAAAGGCAUUGAGAAAAUGGUGGAUGAGUUAUUUUGGUUUUAAAAACCGUAUCACUUUGCGCGACGAAAAAUAUUGUUGGUCGCGCAAAGGUUUGCGCGACGAAAAAUAUUGGAAUAUUGAUCGCGCAAACUUUUGCGCGACGAAACAUAUUGGUCGCGCAAAGUUUUGCGCGACGAAACAUAUUGGUCGCGCAAAGUCUAAAAAAAUUAUUUAAAAAAAAUAAAAAUCCCCGCGUCCCAUUUUUGGUACCUGCCAAAAUUUUUAAAUUUUUGCGCGACGAAUAUAGGAAUAUUGGUCGCGCAAAGUCUAAAAAAAUUAUUUAAAAAAAAUAAAAAUCCCCGCGUCCCAUUUUUGGUACCCGCCAAAAUUUUUAAAUUUUUGCGCGACGAAUAUAGGAAUAUUGGUCGCGCAAAGUCUAAAAAAAUUAUUUAAAAAAAAUAAAAAUCCCCGCGUCCCAUUUUUGGUACCCGCCAAAAUUUUUAAAUUUUUGCGCGACGAAAAAUACAUACUGGUCGCGCAAAGUCUAAAAAAAUUCCCGCGUCCGAUUUUUGGUACCCGCCCAAAUUUUUGCGAGACGAAAAAUAUAUAUUGGUCGCGCAAAGUUUUGAGCGACAAAAAAUAUUGGUUGCGCAAAGUCUAAAAUUUUUUUAUUUUUUUUUAAAAUCCCGCGUCCCAUUUUUGGUACCCGUCCAAAUUUUUAGAGUUUUGCGCGACAAACUGUUGGUUGCGCAAACUUUUGAGAGACGAAAAAUUGGUUCGUAACACAAUAUUUAUAAAAAUAAUUGUUAUGAGUAAUAAAAAUAAAAUUAUUUUAUUUUACAAUUUAAAAUAUAAAUAAGGUUAAAGCUGCUUAAUAAAUAUAUAUACUAUUCAAUUUCUUAAGUGUUAUACGUACAAAAUAAAUAAAUUUAAAGCUACUUAAUAAAUAAAUAUAUAUACACACACCAUUCAACGAUCCAACCGUCAGACUUAUUUGUAUAUACUUCAAGAUCAUAUACCCGAAAAAUCGCAAAAAACAAACAUUCAGAGAUCUAGUAACGAGACAAAACUUUUCGAUGGUUAUAAAUGAAAAAUUACGAUUUAACGGUUAUUUUAACUCCGAUUUUGAUGAUUUUUUUUACAGCUACACUCCUUGCCAUAUAUGAAUACAAUGACUGAAUUUGAUCUUCAAUUUAAAAUAUUUACACUAGUGGAUACCACAAAAUCUUAUGUUAUAUCUAACGAACGUAUAAAUAACCUCUUAAUUGUUAGUGAAUAUAUUGUUUUGAUGGCAUAUGCAUUCACCAAAACUAGUUUCAACGAUCCAACCGUCAAACUUGUUUGUUUAUACUUCGAGAUCAGAUACGCCAAAAAUCGGAAAAAAUAAACAUUCAGAGAUCAAGUAAUGGGACAAAACUUUUCGACGGUUAUAAUGAAAAAUCACGAUGUAACGGUUAUUUUAACUCCGAUUUUGAUGAUUUUUUACAACUACACUCCUUGACCCUAUAUGAAUACAAUGAACUAAUUCGAUCGUCAAUUUAAAAUAUAUAUUUUCUAACAAAAACCCAAUAUGAACAACAAUAAUAUAUUUUUCUAACAAAAAUCCGAUCCGAUCUAAAAUAAUAAAUUUAAAGCUACUUAAUAAAUAUAUAUACUGUUUAAUUUCUUAAGUGUUAUGCAUACAAAAUAAAAAACAAAAAUAAAUUAGUUUAGGCGACGAAAUGUUUGGAUUACGUCAUGCAAAGAUUUUAAAAUAUAUAUAUUUUAUUUUUAUAAGGAAUUUGCGCGACGAAGUUCAUUGUUUCGUCGCGCAAAGUCACUUUGAGCGACGAUGUAUUGUUGUCGCGCAAAAGUUUGUCGCGCAAAGUUACUUUGCGCGACGAAUUGUUUUUCGUCGCGCAAAAUUUGGUCGCGCAAGACUUUGAGCGACGAUGUAUUGUCGUCGCGCAAAAGUUUGUCGCGCGAAGUGACUUUGCGCUACGAAUUGUUUUUCGUCGCGCAAAAUUUGGUCGUGCAAGACUUUGAGCGACGAAGUUUUGAGUUUCGUCGCGCAAAGUGACUUUGAGCGACGAAUAGUUUUUCGUCGCGCAAAAUUUGAUCGCGCAAGGGGUUUUUUUUACUAGUGCCGGCUCUACGCUUAAAAUACGUUCAAAAUGAACAUGAAGCUUGCACUCGCAGAGGACGGGAGGUUGCAGUCGAAGUCACAGCCAUUUCGCUUCUCUAUCAACUCAAGCUUCGAUUUGUUUUCUUCUGUUUCAGCCGCUUCGUCCUCUGGGUUCGGCACCCAAAAAAGACCCAACCCGCCUAGGAGGCCCACCCAGCCGCCUAGCGCUCGCCUAGCCGCCCAGCUGCCCGCCUAGGCAAAUUUUUCGAACACUGCGAUUGACUGAAAGUUUGAAACCCGAAAUUGAAAAAAUUUAGCUGCAAAUUUGAGCUUGUGAUUGAGAUUGGGAAGCCAAAGCAAUGAAGCACAAGUCAAGUCCAUAGAAGAAGAGAUCGUAAGACUCUUAAUUCAUCUAAUUCCAUUCCUCUCCUUGUUCCCCGCUUUAUUCUCUUCUCUCUUGGCUCUCUCCCAAACGACAUGUUCACCUCAACACACCAACGACAACGAAGACAAUUCCUUCCUUUGUCAACUCCACCUUAUUCUCUUCUCUCUUCGCAUUGACGGCAUGGUGCAGAAGAAAAAAAAUACAAAAUUUGCUGACUUGGUGUCUGUCUUCAGUGGAAGGAAAUGAUGAAGCUAUCCUAUCAUGGAGUUUCUAUGGUCUUGCCAAUAACAAGGUUCGGUUUUCAGGCCCCAAUCUCAAAUUCUGACUAUUUAUUUCUGGUUUGGUUAAGCAAUAGAUUGAUUGGUUUGGUUCUUUUUGCUUGAAACUUGAUAAAUCUUUAUGCAUUCGAUAUUCAUCCAUUGAUGGUUCUUCUUGGUUGGAUUGCAUUUCUGUUAUAGAUUUUCACAUUUGAUCAUGCCCUCUUGUUUGCUGAGAGAAAAAAGAAGAAGAAAGAUUUGUGUCCUCCUCUUGUUGCAUAGGAACCCAAAACCAACCCACCAAAGAACAGAAAAAAAAAAAAAAUUGAAAUAUUACACCACCUCAAGUGGAAAAUCUAAUUCAUUUAAGCUUUUAUAUUUGUUCUUGUAUCAACAUCUGUGUUUCUGUUGUGUGAACUCCACCUCAACUCCAAAGAAAAAAUAAAAAUAAAAAUUAGAGGGUGCAUUUGCUAACGCAUGGGUUGAGAAUCUCUUAAUUAUAUUUGACUUUUCAAACUGACUUCAAAAGCACAAGAUUAACACACCAACAUGAAAUAUCGUUAAUCGAGCCUCCAUUAGUGUAAAAGGAUUGUGACUUCAUUAGCUGAAAAUGCUUUAGAAGAAGGAUCGACUUCGAGUUCAUUGAGACCCCUUUCACUAUAAAAACCAGGUUUUUGAGGUUGAGGCAAUGACCCUUCACCCCUCAGCAUUACAACUGCAGCUGGCAUGCUCGGCCUAUCUGCUGGGUUACACUGCACACUUAAAAGACCUACAUGAUGCAGAUAGAGGAGCCCCAGAGCAAUUCCAUUAAUAAUGUCAAAGUUCUUGGGCCAAUCUAGCAUCAUGCUUUUUCUUGCAAUUUCUAGUCUUGUGAUUUUAUGUUUCCACUUGUAGGAUGAAAGUGAAGUUUUCUUCAGUUUCAAAAGAAGUACAAAGCUACAGAAACUGGUUGAUGCUUUGUGUACCACCGUUCCCUCGAUCCUGAAUCAUUAAUAAUUUUAUUUUAGAACGACCACAUUCACAAGCAGAAGACUGCUGAGGAGGUAAGACUUCAUCAAAACCACUGUAUAUACUGUUACUUACAAAAAUAAUUUUAUUGUUGCUUAAAUGAUUUGUUACCUUAUUACAGAUGAUGCCCCUAAACUUAUAUAUUUCUGCUUCUCAUGAUCAAAUUCUUGUUACUUCAUGACUUUGUGCAGCAUCAAAUGGAAGAAGGUGAUGAAAUCGAUUAAAAACACAAAAUGGGGAGUAAGGAGAAGCUUAAAUAAGGAUGAUUUCUUUACCAAAAAAUAUAAGGAUGAUUUGUUUGGUGAUAGGACAAUUAUGGCCUUGCUUGCUUUGGUAAUUCCUUCUUAGCUUUAGCUUAGCAGAUGGUGCCAAGGAGUCUCUUGCUUUUGAAAAAAAAGGGCCCUAGUUGCUUUUCCAAAAGGAAAUACUAGGAUUGCUUCCUCGUGUUGCGCUAUAUUAUUGCUGGACUAGUAACUAGUUUCUUACUUUUUGUUGUUGGAAUGCAGAAAGUGUUUGUUGAAUGACCAAUUAUCCAACACCCCAUCAAUUAAUUCUCUUGUUUGUUCUUAUUAUAUAGGAAAAGAUUACCACUGAUUGUUUUCCCAGGUUUUUUUGUAUUCUUUUGAAAUUUAUGGUUUUUUUUUUUCAUUUAAUUUGGUGUUUAAUUAACUUAUUGUAUAUAGAUGUAAUUAUAUUAAAUCGUUGUUGCAGAUGGAUGAACAAAGAUGGGAGGACUUAGAAAUGGACGGCUUGGUCAAAGUGUUGGAGGAAGUUGGAAUGGAGUCACUGCUUUUGGAUGUCCCUUUUUUGUGCAAGUCAAGGUACAAGGCGACCCUCAAUCCUUCAUGCUGGCAAUCUCUCAUUUUCCCAGACAAUGAAUGUAUGGAAGUCUGUCCUUGGGAUGUGUCUGAAUGUCCGAAUUUUCAAAAUCUUGGACAGACUUGCAAGUGAAUGUCAUAUGACCUCUAAUACUUUCAAUUAAUUUCAAAAUAGAGUUGCAAACUUCUCUUCGUUGUCUCGUUAGAUUGUUUUAUAUCCAAUUUUUCAUCUACAUAGAAUACAAUGCCAAUUAGGGGUGGGCGCGGUACGGUAUUGAGCUCGUACUGCUACCGAUACCAGAAAUUAAAACCGGUAUGGUACGGUAUGAGAUUAUCGUUUGCUAAAGUUGGUACUGUACCUUAUCGUGCCAAAUCGGUAUCAGUACCAUUUCGGUACCAAAAUAACACAACUAAAAAAUGAACCAAUUCAAUAUUCAACAUAUUCAUUCACCAAAAUAAGUGAUGCCUAAGUUACAGAUUCAAAGAUUCAACAUAUUCAAUUCAAUAUCCAAAUCCUAAUCAACCAAAUCAAUAUCCAUCAACAGAUUCAUCAAAUCCAAAUGGUUAAAACUCAUGCCUUAUGGAUUACAAACCAAAAUAGUUAAAUUAUGCCUUAUGGCUUAUAAAAUUACAAACACAAUCCAAACAUUAAUGCCUUAUGGUACAGUAUGGUAUUGACCGGUACCAAAUACUUGAUACCACUACCAUACCAUACUCUAUUGGUACGGUACUGAAUAUCUCCCUAUCCCAAAUGAAACGGUAUGAAAUCGGUAUGGUACAGUAUGGUUAGUGUACGGUUUCGGUAUUUCUGUUUAGAUGCCCACCCCCAAGCCAAACUGAUAUAUCUCAUAGCAGAAGAGCAGGGUUGUCAAGUGCAAUGAAAAAAAAGAAGCUGUAAUUGGGUUUAGUUCAUAAUUACAACGGAUACAUUUUAGAAAGUAAAUUGCUAUACAAGCAAUUUUAUUCUAUGAAAUUAACAAUCUUUGAUCCACAAAAUGUUGGCAGAUACCUUUUUUGUGUAUGGGUAUUUAUGGGUUUAACCUGUAUUAUUUGUUAGAAAUAAAAUUCAUUUUUUAUUCUUGUCCAAUGGGCCAAUAGCUAAAAAUCAUUAGAAUGUGAGGUAUCAGAAAGAAUUUAAAUUCUCAUUCCCCAAUAUCGCGUUUUUAAAUAAAAUAAUUGAAGAAAUAGCUCUAGCCCAAUAGGCUAAAAUGAUAUGACAAAAUUGUAUAUUUAGAAAGUUAUCACUAUUUUUUUAAGUAUAGCCGCUCGGCUAUAAUCUGUAAAUUAUUUUCCUAACGAACACGAAGCUUGCACCCGCAGAGGACGGAGCUUGCAGAUGCAGUCAUAGUCAUUUCGCUUCUCUAUCAACUUCUUCGGUUUCGGCUGCUUCGUCCUCCGGGUUUGGCACCCAAAAAAGACCCAAUCCGCCCAGCCGCCUAGCGCCCGCCUAGCCCCCUAGCCGCCCGCCUAGGCCGAUUUUUCGAACAUUGCGAUUGACUGAAAGUCUGAAACCCGAAAUUGAAAAAGUUUAGCUUCAAAUUUGAGCUUGAGAUUGAGAUUGGGAAGCCGAAGCAAGCACAAGUCAGGUCUAUAGAAGAAGAGAUCAUGAUACUCUCAAUUCAUCUAAUUCCAUUCCUCUCCCUGUUUCCUGCCUUAUUCUCUCUCUCUAGGCUCUCUCCCAAACGACAUGUUCACCUCACCACACCAAUGACAACUGCGACAAUUCCUCCCUCUGCCAACUCCGCCUUAUUCUCUUCUCUCUUCGCAUUGACGAAAAAAAUACAAAAUUUGCUGACUUGGUGUCUGUCUUCAGUGGAAGGAAAUGAUGAAGCUAUCCUAUCAUGGAGUUUCUAUGGUCUUGCCAAUAACAAGGUUCGGUUUUUCGGCCCCAGUCUCAAAUUCGGACUUUUUAUUUCUAGUUUGGUUAAGCAAUAGAUUGAUUGGUUUGGUUCUUCUUGCUUGAAACUUGAUAAAUCUUUAUGCAUUCGAUAUUCAUCCAUUGAUGGUUCUUCUUGGUUGGACUGCUUUUCAUUCUUUGGAUAUUGCAUUUAUGUUAUAGAUUUUAACAUUUGAUCAUGCCCUCUUGUUUGCUGAUAGAAAAAUAAAAAAUAAAAAAAAAAUUGAAAGAUUUGUCUCCUCCUCCUCUUGCAUAGGAACACAAAACCAACCCACUAAAGAACAGAAAAAAAAAAUGAAAUAUUACACCACCUCGAGUGAAAAAUCUAAUUAAUUUAAGCUUUUAUAUUUGUUCUUGUAUCAGCAUCUGUGUUUCUGUAGUGUGAACUCCACCUCAACUUCGAAGAAAACAAAUAAAAAAAAUUAAAGGGUGCAUUUGCUAACGCAUGGGUUGGGAAUCUCUUAAUUAUAUUCAACUUUUCAAACUGACUUCAAAAGCACCAUAUUAACACACCAACAUGAAAUAUUGUUUAUCGAGCCUCCCUUAGUGUAAAAGGACUGUGACUGCAUUAGCUGAAAAUGCUUUAGAAGAAGGAUCGACUUCCAGUUCAUUGAGAUCCCCUUCACUAUAAAAACUAGGUUUUUGAGGUUGAGGCAAUGACCCUUCACCACUCAGCAUUACAACUGUAGCUGGCAUGCUCGGUCUAUCUGCCGGGUUACGCUGCACACUUGAAAGACCUACAUGAAUUGAUCUCACAACUUCAUGUGGAUCACCGGAGUCCCCUACUGAUGUAUCAAGCACUUCAAUGGACCUGCCUUCUGUGUAUAGCAUCCAUGUGAAGGAAGUUGAGGUUCCACCCCAAAACCAAUUGGCAAUGGGGGGAGUAACCCAACUCCUUAUAAGCCCUUGCUAGGUUUCUCAACUUUCCAAUGUGGGACUCUUUACUUUCACAUUCUCACACGCCCCCGCACGUGUGGCGAAUUUUCAAGCCUAACACGUGGACAACACAUUUUGGGUGACGUGGAGCACGUGUGGUCGUUGGGCUUUCACAACGUGGGCAAACCGCUCUGAUACCAUGAAGGAAGUUGAGGUUCCACCCCAAAACCAAUUGGCAAUGGGGGGAGUAACCCAACUCCUUAUAAGCCCUUGCUAGGUUUCUCAACUUUCCAAUGUGGGACUCUUUACCUUCACAUUCUCACACCAUGCCUAAACGAAUUGAUCAGAAGUUCAAAACCAUUGUGCUUAAUUAAAAGAAGAAACAGAAACAAGUAAUGAGUAAAUCCUCUGUUCCUCUUCCCACUUGCUAUCUCUAGCACCAACACACCUAUUCUUCAACUCAUUGAAAUCCUCUGUUUCUCUUCAUGUGUAACCUCAUUCUUCAACUCACUGAGUCCUUGUCUAGAAUGUUUUGAGAGCCUUUUCACAGCUAUUUCUUGUCCAUCUUUUAAUAUACCCUGAAAUCCAUUAGCCACAUAUGAUGGCCAAAAUCCAUACUCUUUUGUUUGCAAACGUUCAAUAUACGACUUGUAUCCAUAGUCCUGACCCAAAUGACAUGUGGAAACUGUCAAGCUAACUGUAAGGAUAUUUGAUUUUACCUUAAAGACUGAUCCGAAACCACCUUCUCCAAGUUUAUUGUUGUUUGAAAAGUUUUUGGUUGCACAAACAACAGCGGCCAAGUCAAAUAAUGGUCAUUCCAGAUCUUCCUUUUGGCCGGGCUUCAGUUCUCCUGUGAAGUACGCAGUGAAGUAAAUAAUGUAGCAUGGAACUUAAGCUUAGAAACCAGAGAGGCAACAGCAAAUUUUUUUUAUAGAACUGAACCAACCAAUCUUAGAAAAUGGAGGGGCAGAAGAGUACAAAAUCAAAUAGCUUACCAUAUUUUUGUUGCUGGUUCUUCCUCACAUACAAUAAUAGCAGGGUUAGGCCCAGGAUCAGCAGUCCAGUAGACAACACAGUACUGGUUACUAUGAUCUUUGUAUUGUGUCCUUUCCUUGAUCUAGGAAUGAAGUAUUUGAAAGCAGAAGAUUGAGGAGUCAGAAAUUCAUAAAGAAAAAAAUCUUUACUUUUUAUAAUCCAACGAACAAUUAAUGCUAGUUUCUGAGACAAUUCUAAAGAAAUAUUUUUCUAAUAAUGUCAAAAGUUUUCUGGCUCUAUCUUGUUUCUAAUCAUGUCACUGUUGGAAGAUUUCUUUCUUCUUUUUUCCUUGGUGGCUUUUAUUUUUCUUUCAAACUUUGUUUUAAAAAGCAAGAUGAUUCCAUCCCUAGUUCUGAUGAAGCCAUUCUUAUGUAAAUGUCUUGCCCGUUUAUAUUGGAAUAUCUUAUAUCAACCAGAUCGCUGAACCACAGCAAGCACCCCCUUCCUCCAUCUCGGAUAUCCAAAUUUGAAAAAGCGGUGCAGGAGCAGAUGUUCAUGCACAUCUCUCACAUUCCUUGAGGUUCAUACUUGUGUUAUACCAGGAUUGUUCUGUACUUGGCAAUUUCACUCCAGAGUACUUCUUAAAGAUGUCUCCACUGCAAUUCAGUUGGCUCUUUCUCACACAGCUAUAUGACCAAUCCACCAAGUCCCAGUCUUGUUGAAAGUUCAGUAUAAAUCCCCUCAAGCAGCUACAUACUGGGGACUUGUCAAUACUACAUGCACCAUUCGGACCACAUAUUCCAUAUUUGUCACAAAUAUCAGUCGUUGCUAUUAGAUAAACGACCCAACCUUGGUUUCCAUCACCCCCGAUGUAGCUCAGCCCAAAUCCAUCUUGAGUUCACGCCAGCCUGAAAAGAGUUGAGCUGUUGAGAAGCUUAUAACCAUAAUAUACUUCAUCAUCAUUAUCCAACACAAAAUCAUAUGUUGGAUUUAAAUUAUGCAUCCCACUAAAUUGGAUUCCAUUCCAUGGUGCAGUAAGAUAUUUUUUAACAGAACCCUCCCUCAGAAUUAAUUCAUGGUAUCCAUAAGGACCAAGUUGAUAUGCAUAACGUCCUUGAGAAGGAACCUGGGGGCUUUUCCAGGGUGUAAAAUGCCAAUUAAAAUCUGUGAUUUUGUUCCUAACAAGCUUCAUGCCUGGUAUUAAUGUAUCACCUGGGUAAUCAGAACUCUGCCAUAAAAUAUUAUCAGGGUCAUUAUAACCAUUGCCAUCUAUCACAAGAAGAUUUCCGGAAUCCAAAAGCUGUGCCACUGGAUUCUGUGCAGAACUUGAUGUGUUAGAAGACCUGUAGUGUUCUUAUGGUUGACAGGGACAAGAAUUCCAGGGCUGCUCAACUUGAGUACACCUGAUGAACCAGUGAGGGGUGUGUUUCUUUUAGCCUGCACUAUAUAUGGAGAGUCUGACUCUAAUUAGAAGAUAAUUGUAUUAAUUUGGUAAAGCUUUGUCUGUAACUGUCUCUGACCUUAAAAGAUUUCACAGUUAGCAGCAUUGCUUGAUUAGAAAGUAGAAACCCUACAGUAUAUAGUUAAGUUGAGUAGCUGGGAAGACAAUUAGUAACCUUUCAACACUAAAGUUGAAUAGUGGGGAGACGAAUUACUAAAGUUUCAAGGACAGAUAAAUAGGAUGAAUUUCUCAUAAGGGAUCCCCUUUCACUGUAGCUUGGAGUAGAAUUCCUUUUGACACAAUAUCAAUUAUCAAUGUAAACACGUUACUGAUGCAUUAUCGACAAUAUCGAUGCACGUCAUACCAAAUUUAGAUGCGUAAUUGAAUGCAAAUAAACAUCACUCUCUCCAGUGUGAAAUGGAGAAAAUUCUCUUCAAUCAAAAGUGGGCUUACUUCAAAUUUAGUUCAAGAAUGAUGCUGUCUUGCCUGACAAUUGACAAUUAGGAGCGUUCCUCUAGUAGAAGAAUCUAAAUCAUUUGUGGUCAUCCACUCACUUGGUUAGUCUUCUAGAAUCAAAUACCAAAUCAACUCAAAGGAAGCUGCAAUUUUCUGAAUUGUAUACUUGUUUUAAUUCUUCUUAUCUUUUUCUCUCUUUCAGUUUUUUUUUUCUCCCUCAAGUUAAUACUUAAGUGAGUUGCCAAAUGGAGGAAAAAAAAGAGUAGAAGAGAUGAACCCCACAUUUGACUUUAAUGGACAAAUGCCCAAGAGAAGUACCAAUAAGAGCAUCUCCAAUUGGGAGGUGCUAUCCUAUAAUUUGACACACAUUUCUUAUUUUUUUUCAAUUCUAACAUCAUGUCAUCUAUAUCGCAAUAGGCUGUUGUAGUUAAAUUUUCAAAUAUCAAGUUGCUCUCUAUUUUCCAAAGAAGACUAGAAAACAACUUACCAUCUAUCUGAUGCUGCUUCUUCCAAACAUUAGAAAAAACAGAGCUGCACCCAGGAGGAGCCCAGGAGAUGACACAAUACUGCCUACUGUGAUUCUUACUUUCUUCACAUUCAAUGUGACUAUUAAAUAUAACCCAAGUGGUCUAACCCCCCGGGGCGGAAAUUGGGUGUAGCAGGUUUAGCACUGAUUGUUGUGUAGUCUUCAUGAUCUAGGCAGGGAAUAUAUUUGAAAGCAAAAAAGAGUGAGAAGAUAGAUAUUGAUAAAGAAAAAAAAAAAAUUCUGUAAUGUCUAUCAUUUAUUGAUCUUAACAGACGAAUUUUGAAAGUAGAGUUUGAUAAUUGUGUCCAAAUCCAAAAUUAUAGAGUAACAACCUUUGGGUUUGAUAUGUUUUGACCUUACUUUUUGUACAUGAUCGUGAAGAGAUGGAUAACUCCCAAUUGACUGUUCCAUAUCCAAAGAUGUUUCUUUUUUUCUUGUUUUCUUUAAAAUUUGCAUUAACACACUGACUUUUGAGAUUAAAAAUGACUCGAUACCUAGUUCUGAUGCUGCCAUUCUAAAAUAAAUAUCUUGCCCAUUUUCAGUGAAAUUUCUUACAUCAAUCAGCUCACUAAACCACAGCAGGCACCCACUUCCUCCAUCCCUGGUAUCCAAGUUUGCAAACGCUGUGCAGGAGCAGUUCUUCAUGCACAACAUCUCACAUUCCUUGAGCUCCAUACUUCUAUUAAACCCAGAUACAUCAUUUGCAGUCUGUUUUGUUCACUCUUAAGGUUUGUUUCCCAUCCCCCCCUUGGGGGUGGGUGGCUUCCCCAUCUUCCAUCUUUCUCUCCUCAUCUCCCUUUCUCCUUUCCUAGUUUUCUUCCCCUCUUCUAUACUCUCCCUAGAUUUGCCUGGAUUUUGGGUCCUUUUGCCCAGAUCUAUCUGGAUCUUGUCUUUUGUUUGUUUGUUUGUGUGUUUUCUGUUGUAGGUCCUUGGUGACUUUUGUUGUUCAUGGAUGUGUCUUGCUGUCAUUGGGAUGGUUGCGUUGUGGUGUUGUCGACCCAGCUUUUCUCUUUGGUUUUCGUUGUGUUUUUUACGCAAGUAUUGCAAUCCACUGUAGACGCCAUGAUUUUGUUGCAGCUUUUGGUCCACGCAUAUGGAAUUCGCUCCAAUUUAGUGUUUGGAGUUGGAAAAGUGAUUGUUGCUAGUUUGUGUGGGAUCGGGUUUAGCCUGUGCAAAAUAAGAGGUUUAGCCAUGUUGGUGCUACGAGUCUCUUUGGUUUGCUAGAGAGGAAGUGGUGCGGUGUCCUUGUUUCUGUGUUUUUUUAGUCUAAUAAUUCUCAGAAACUCAAUAGGAGUUUGCUAUUGUAUGUAUUUCGUGUUCGACUUUUCGAUGCAGAUUCGUCGUUACUGCCGUUGCGCGGUGGAUUUGUAUUGUAGGUCUAAGUAUAGAUAGUUCUUGUCUGCCAAAUUGGAGUUUUUAAGUUUUUCUGGCAUAUGUAAUUCUCUCUAGAUCAAACCAAUUUAUCUUUUUGUUUGGUCACUGGAGAUGUUGUACUCAUAUUUGGCAUUGCGACUACUCUGUACUUUUUUAUGUGUUAUCAAUAAAAUUACUAUCGCUUUUUAUCAAAAAAAAAAGGUUUGUUUCCCGUUUCAGCUUCCAAGUCUUCAGCUUUCAAGUAUAUGCUAAAUUGAAAGCAAAUAUAUAAUAUUUGGAUAUACUCGCCAAAUAUAUUAGAAUAUUUUAAAAGUAUAGCCGUUUGGCUAUAGGCUUGAAAUAAAAGUAUAGCCGCGCGGCUGUACUCUUUAAACAAAUUCAAAACGAACACGAAGCUUGCGCUCGCAGAGGACGGAGGUUGAAGUCGAAGUCACAGCCAUUUCGCUUCUCUAUCAACUCAAGCUUCGAUUUGUUUUCUUCGGUUUCGGCUGCUUCGUCCUCCGGGUUUGGCACCGAAAAAAGACCCAACCCGCCUAGGAUGCCAGCCCAGCCGCCUAGCGCCCGCCUAGCCGCCAAGCUGCCGCCUAGGCCGAUUUUUCGAACACUGCGAUUGACUGAAAGUCUGAAACUCGAAAUUGAAAAAAUUUAGCUGCAAAUUUGAGCUUGAGAUUGAGAUUGGGAAGCCGAAGCAGUGAAGCACAAGUCAAGUCCAUAGAAGAAGAGAUCAUGAGAUUCUUAAUUCAUCUAAUUCCAUUCCUCUCCCUGUUUCCCGCUUUAUUCUCUUCUCUCUUGGCUGUCUCCCAAACCACAUGUUCACCUCACCACACCAACGACAACGACGACAAUUCCUCCCUUUGCCAACUCUGCCUUAUUCUCUUCUCUCUUCGCAUUGAUGGCCUGGCGCAGAAGAAAAAAAUACAAAAUUUGCUGAUUUGGUGUCUGUCUUUAGUGGAAGGAAAUGAUGAAGCUAUCCUAUCAUGGAGUUUCUAUGGUCUUGCCAAUAACAAGGUUCGGUUUUUAGGCCCCAAUCUCAAAUUCUGACUAUUUAUUUCUGGUUUGGUUUAGCAAUAGAUUGAUUGGUUUGGUUCUUCUUGCUUGAAACUUGAUAAAUCUUUAUGCAUUCGAUAUUCAUCCAUUGAUGGUUCUUCUUGGUUGAAUUGCAUUUCUGAUAUAGAUUUUCACAUUUGAUCAUGCCCAUUUGUUUGCUGAGAGAAAAAGAAGAAGAAAGAUUCGUGUCCUCCUGUUGCAUAGGAACCCAAAACCAACCCACCAAAGAACAGAAAAAAAAUAAAAUUGAAAUAUUACACCACCUCAAGUGAAAAAUCUAAUUCAUUUAAGCUUUUAUAUUUGUUCUUGUUUCAGCAUCUGUGUUUCAGUUGUGUGAACUCCACCUCGACUCCAAAGAAAAAAAUUAAAAAAAAUUAGAGGGAGCAUUUGCUAACGCAUGGGUUGGGAAUCUCUUAAUUAUAUUUAAUUUUUCAAACUGACUUCGAAAGCCCCAAAUUAACACACCAACAUGAAAUAUCGUUUAUCAAGCCUCCAUUAGUGUAAAAGGACUGUGACUUCAUUAGUUGAAAAUGCUUUAGAAGAAGUAUCGACUUUGAGUUCAUUGAGAUCCCUUUCACUAUAAAAACCCAGGUUUUUGAGGUUGAGGCAAUGACCCUUCACCACUCAGCAUUACAACUGUAGCUGGCAUGCCUGGCCUAUCUGCCGGGUUACGCUGCACACUUAAAAGACCUACAUGAUGAAGAUAGAGGAGCCCCCGAGCAAUUCCAUUAAUAAUGUCAAAGCUCUUGGGCCAAUCUAGCAUCAUGCUUUUUCUUGUCAUUUCUAGUCUUGUGAUUCUAUGUUUCCACAUGUAGGAUGAAAGUGAAGUUUUCUUCAGGAUCAAAAGAAGUACAAAGCUACAGAAACUGGUUGAUGCUUUGUGUACCACCGUUCCCUCGAUCCUGAAUCAUUAAUAAUUUGGUUUGAGAAUGACCACAUUCACAAGUAGAAGACUGCUGGGGAGGUAAGACUUCAUCAAAACCAUUGUAUAUAAUGUUACUUAUAAAAAUAAUUUUAUUGUUGCCUAAAUGAUUUGUUACCUUAUGAUAGAUGAUGCCCCUAAACUUAUAUAUUUCUGCUUCUCAUGAUCAAAUCCUUGUUACUUCAUGACUUUGUGCAGCAUCAAAUGGAAGACGGUGAUGAAAUCAAUUAAAAACACAAAACGGGGAGUAAGGAGAAGCUUAAGUAAGGAUGAUUUCUUUACCAAAAAAAAAUAAGGAUAUUUGUUUGGUGAUAGGACAAUUACGGCCUUGCUUGCUUUGGUAAUUCCUUCUUAGCUUUAGCUUAGCAGAUGAUGCCAAAGAGUCUCUUGCUUUUGAAAAGGAAAAAAAAAAGGGCCCUACUUGCUUUUCCAAAAAGGAAAUACUAGAAUUGCUUCCUCGUGAUGUAGUUGCCUCUGUAUUAUUGCUGGACUAGUAACUAGUUUCUUACUUUUUGUUGUUGGAAUGCAGAAGGUGUUUGAUGAAUGAACAAUUAUCCAACACUCCAUCAAUUAAUUCUCUUGUUUGUUCUUAUUAUAUAGGAAAAGGAUUACCACACGAUUGUUUUCCCAGGUUUCUUUGUAUUCUUUUGAAAUUUAUGUUUUUUUUUUUCAAUCAAUUUGGUGUUUAAUUAACUUAUUGUAUACAGAUGUAAUUAUAUUAAAUCGUUGUUGCAGAUGGAUGAACAAAGAUGGGAGGACUUAGAAAUGGACUGCUUGGUCAAAGUGUUGGAGGAAGUGGGAAUGGAGUCACUGCUUUUGGAUGUCCCUUUUGUGUGCAAGUCAUGGUACAAGGCGGCCCUCAAUCCUUCAUGCUGGCAAUCUCUCAUUUUCCCAGACAAUGAAUGUAUGGAAGUCUGGCCUUGGGAUGUGUCUGAAUGUCCGAAUUUUCAAAAUCUUAUGGACAGAUUUGCAAGUGAGUAUCAAAUUGAUGGGGAUCGUUGCUCUGUCUCCGCUUUUCUAAAGUUUGUUAUCAAUCGGAGCAGCGGAAACGCUAUUGUGCUCAAGCUUCCCAAACGCUGCACAGUAGAGCCUUUGAAUUUGCUGCAAAUGUGCAAGUUUUCUCAUUUUCACUUGUUUAACAAAACAAGUUAAUUUUCAGAACCCUCAAGUAUACCCAGUUUAAUUUUCAAAACCCUCAAGCCUUUGAAUGUGCUCAAGCUUCCUCUUCGCCCAAGUUGCCAUAGCAUCUACUGGAGAGUUUAGGUUGUACAUUUGAUAGAUACCCAAGGGUGGGCAUGGAGGAAGAGAGAUGUGGCGAUUUACAUGGAGAAAAAGAGAGUUUUUGGACCUGUGCCAUUUAUUCUAUUAAAAUAAUAGUAACUUUUGAAUAAAAGUAUUAUUAACAUGAUAAUAAUCAAUUAGUUGUGAGAUUUAAUCUCAGCCAUUUAUAAUGUGUUAAUUUAAUGAUCAAGAACUUGUGUAAAAAAUAUAGUGCCAUAUAUAUAGUUCUACAUCAAUUCAACAGUCCCGAUCUCUUGGACCACAAGAGUCCAAGAGAUUGUGGUCACCUACCGUUGGAUAUUAAUCCAAUGGUUUAAAAAAGUUUCUUAAAAAGAGUGCAAGAGUGAGUGAACCGUUGAAUUUACAUCCAACGGUGAGUGACCACAAAUCUCUUGGACUCCUGUAGUCCAAGAGAUCAAGACUGAUCAAUUCAAAGUGUAAUAACUAUAGGGUAUAUACCUGUCGCCUCAAGUAAAGACUUUAAGCUGUAAAUUUCACGUUUACAAUUUAUUGAGUUUUACAUAAACGGCCAAGGGAUGUAACGUGUGCUUUGGGGAUGCCUUCAGUUAGAAGAACACUGAUCUUACUUUCAACCCAAGAGAAAAAAGACUAUUGAUUUUAUAAUCAAUAAAAUUCUUUUUUUUUCUUCUUCUUGUUGGCAACAUUUCAUAAAAUUCAAAUCAUCUCGCAGCAAUGUAUUUAUUAAUUUUAUUUUCUAAAUAAGGACCAAGGUAUUAACUUUAUAUUUUUAUUAAGUUUGAAUACUAGUGUUAUUAGAAAUUUAAAUUAUCAAACAUAUUAUAAAAGUAAAAGAAAAAAAUAAUUGAGCUUAAUCUUUAAAACAUCAUUUCAAACCAAAACAAUAAAAUAAAAUAAUUUAGUUUGGUAAUUACUUAAAAGAGAGAAAAGGGCUAAUUUAGUUUGGGAAUUACCAGAAAAUGCCCUUAAUUAAUGCAAACCUUAAGAAUUGAAAUUAUUUAGGAUGCUGCACACGUGAAUCCUGAAAACUCAGUUGGUCUCCCUUCUGGUUUUAUUCCUGACUCACUGCAUGCUUUACCCCUCACUCUUCUGUCUUUGAAUAGGUCCCAACGAAAUCUUACCUUCGUUCAGUUGAGUGGAACUCCACCCCGGUUUACUCACCACUUCUGCUAGUGCAACCUCUACGAUGCAAACUGCAAAUUCUGGGACCCACUAUGACCCUUUUGAUCUCACUUCGAUCAUUGAAAGGACGACUCCAUCCUUAAUCAAGAAAUUACGCAGAUUUUUUCGAAGGCCGUUAUGUUCUACUUCCUCCAUCUGCAACCCCACCCAAAGUGUGUUUCCUGUCUUAAGUGUAAGGGAUGAAGCCAUUACAGAGAACAAACACAAUACUUACUUAGUGGCUAUCUCUGGUGUGGAAGUCAAUCGUGCAUCAAAACGUCAUUGCAUUAAUUCAACGGUGGGUGCUACGGAACAUCCCGCUGAUCACAAUGAAUUGCUUAAGCUGGAAUUGCUAAGGGCUUGGGAACUAUCUGACAGUUCAAGCUUUGAUUGAGCUUACCCAACGUCAGGCUUCCAAGGUGGUGUUUUUAUGCUAAACUCGUUGUAAUUUCACCAAAAUGGAACGUAUCAAACUCAGACUAGGUUUUUCUCAUGCUUUCAAUCCUCCUAGUCAUGGUCUCUCUGGAGGUCUUUGUCUUCUUUGGCAUGAUGAUAUUGAUCUCUUUAUUCGCUCUCACUCUUCUAAUCAUAUUGAUGCCAAAUGUGGUGGCAUUGAGAACUCGAUUCACUGGCGCCUUACAGGUUUCUACUGUCUUCCUUCUGCUUCUAAUGGUCAUCUGUCUUGGUCUCUGCUCAAUUCCUUUGGCCUUCAUUCCAAGCUCCCCUGGUUGUGCUUCGGGGAUUUCAAUGAAGUUGUUAGCUUACGUGGGAAAUGGGGGGGCAACUUGCGAGCCGAGCGCCAAAUAGCCAACUUCCGGCAAGCUUUAUCUGCCUACAACCUUGUGGAUUUGGGUUAUGUUGGUAGUGACUUCACUAGGCAAAUAACAUGGAGGUGGACAUCAAAUGCUGGCUGCACCAUGCAGUUGCUAACCCUCUUUGGACGUCUUUAUUGCCUAAGUCCCGGGUUGUUCAUUUGGUGCCUUAAAUCUGAUCACUUGCCCAUUAUUAUUGAGAUUCGUAAUGCCUCUUCUGUUGCCUCCCCUCACAAAAGGAGAUUUCAUUUCGAGGAGUUAUGGGGCCGUAGUGAUGGUUGUGAAGACUCUGUUAGAGAAGGCUGGUCUUGCUCCUUUUCGGGGGGUUCCUCUUUUUCAAGCUUGUGCAAAAAUUAAAGCAACUAGAUUGGCCUUCCUCUCCUGGAAGAACGGGAAGUUCAAUUCCACAAAAAUGAAAUUGCAAAAGUCCGUGAUCAACUGGGUCUGUUAUUCAACAAACCGGGUAAUGCGCAAAUUCAAAAUGAGAGAAUCUCUCUGAUGGAGAGGUUGGAUGUGCUCCUCUCUAUUGAAGAGACUUACUGGCGUCAAUGUUCCCUUGCUUUAUGGUUCAAAGACGGUGACCAUAACACCCGUUUUUUUCACCAAUGCUCCACUAGAACCGUAGGCGCAAAAAUACUAUCAAGGGGCUUUUGAUUCUGCGGGCGUUUGGCAAGACGCCCUUGCUGGGAUUGAAGCUACUAUUCUCAAUUACUUAGGUGAUAUUUUCCUUUCCCAUGGCAUUCUCCCUAGUGCUCUAUAGAAAACCUUAUCUGUUAUUUCCCCUUGUGUCCCAGUAGAGAUGAACUUAUCUCUGAUGCAGCCAUACUCCCAAGAAGAAAUUCGUGAGGCCUUAUUCCAAAUGCACCCAUCCAAAUCCCCUCGCCUCGAUAGUUGUCCCCACUCUUCUUCCAACAAUACUGUCGUAUUGUGGGUCUAGAUGUGACCUCUGCGGUCAUCUCUUUUCUCUCCUCGGGUCGUUUAUUGAAUGAGGUCAAUUUUGACUUUGAAUCCCAAGGUCAAGAAUUCGGUGAACUUGUCCCAGAUGCGCCUUAUUAGAUUAUGUAAUGUCAUUUACAAAAUUGGCAAACAAGUCUUGGCUAAUCGUUUAAAGCCAUGGUUGUAAAAAAUAAUCUCCCUUUUUUAGAGUGCUUUUGUUCCUGGUCGUCUCAUUUCUAACAACACCCUUGUGGCUUCUGAGAUUGGUCAUUUUCUCUACAAUAAGCGUCUUGAAAAGAUGGGUUUUUUGGCCCUCAAGUUGGACCUUAGCAAGGCUUUUGAUGGAGUUGAAUGGUGGUUUCUUGUAGCGCUUAUGUUGCGGCUUGGUUUCUCUCAUAUGUGGGUCAAACUGAUCAUGGCUUGUGUUUCUUCUGUUAGUUACUCUUUUCUCAUUAAUGAUGAGCCUCAUAGGGGUCUUUUUCCCUCCAGGGGCUUACGUCAGAGGGACCCACUCUCCCCUUAUCUCUUCCUUCUAUGUGUUGAUUGCCUAUCUUCUUUGAUUGCCCAGCAUGAUCGUGAAGGAAAGCUCUCUGGUAUUGCUAUUUGUCGUGGUGCUCUUAAGGUUCACCACAUUUUAUUUGAUGAUGACAGUUUCCUUUCUUCUUCUUUUUUUCCAAAGUCGGAAGCAAACUUUAAUAAAAGCGGAUGGAAACGUUUACAUCCAUUGCAAGGAAAUUAAAUAGCCAUUGCGGCCAAGUUGGCCCUAACUAAAGCAACCCCCCAUUACGAAAUGCAUAGGCAGCUACUUGGUGAGCCAUCUUAUUGGUGUGUAAAGGAAAAUCACCUGCUGGACUGUUUGCGUCAACAUCAGUACAUCAUAGAUGAUCCCUUCUGCAUCUGCAUCAGGUUAUCUCUAACCAGAAAGCAUCUGAACUACUUGCAAAGAGUCAGAUUCAAUUUCUAUUUUACCAUACCCACUUUUAGAGCAGACCUUCAAGGUUUUGCGGAUGGCCUCAUCCUUCAUCAUGAAAGCUGAAUUUGCCAUCAUAUUGAGGCCAUCCUUCAUCAUCAGAGCUGAACUUGCCAUCAUAUUGCCAAUACCACCACCCUGAACCAUCCAACCAAAAUCAUCUCUGAUCACCUAGCCAAUACCAUAUUUUCUAUUCUAUGCCUUCCAUGCCGCAUCAUAAUUGGCUUUGAUCACUCCUGCUGGUGGCUUUUUCCACCAUUCCUAAACCUUGUGCACUUCCUCAGGUGGUCUAGGAAGAUCACCAAAUUGAGGAGCCAGGCAUCAAGCAGCUCCUGACACUCCUGACAUUGAGGGAAAAACGUCUGAAGAGUCUCCACAGGAUCAACAUGUGUCCCUUCAAAAACCCCUUUGUUUCUACUUUUCAAAGUCACCACAAUCCCAUCACAACCAUCCUCAGAGCCUCCGUUUCUCUUUCAUAUCAACCAAACUGUUUCACCACCUCCUCCUAACAGGCCAGAAAAUCCCCCUUGGACCUAGAAGGGAGUGGCAAACCAGAACACUCUUGCAUAAUCACACUAAAACAAUAUAUGUUCAUGUGUCUCAUUUUAUCGUCCACACCAAGCACAGACAUCCUCCACAUUGAUAUGCCUUCGGCAUAGAUUAGCCUGAACUACAAGAGAAUUUACACAGGCCCUCCAUAAGAACGAUCUUAACUUGUUUGGCAUUUUGAUCCCCCAUAUCACUUUUCAGAGCUUCCAUUGUGUCUCUUAUUUACUACACUCUCCCUCACCUUUUCGCUCAACUUGCCAUUCCGCUGUAAAUUCAAUGCUACCUCAUACCCAGACUUGAUAGUAUAGCUAUCAUUUUUUGGUAAAAUGCCAUAUCAGUCUAGCUGGAUAGUUCCAACGACUAAUGGCCAUUUCCAGUGUACUUUGUGCCUCUUUUUGGUUAAAACAAUCACUGAUCACCUCUUGUUUCCAGCGGUGCGUGAUCAAUAAGUUCAUGGACCAUCCUAGACAAAUUGGGGUGCCUCGUUGUGGUCUUGAAAGACCAUGGAAUAGGAACCCACCUGUCACAAGACACCCAAAUCUUCUCCCCAUUACCAACUCUCCAUCGUACACCAGACUCCAAAAUUCUCCGCCCUUGAAUAAGCCCAUUCUAGCCCCACGACAUGCCUCACCACCCCUGAGUAGACACGAAGACCUUUCCAAAGAAAUAUUUGUCAUGCAAAACCACAGCAAGUAAGGAUUCAGGACGGUGCACAACUCUCCAUCCCACUUUGGCAAACAUAGCAAGAUUGAAACCCAUUAAGUCUCGAAAACCCAUACCACAUGCCUUUUUCAUGGCACUAAGCUUCUGCCAACUAACCCAAUGAGUGCCUUUUUUUUAAUCUUUGUUACUCUUCCACCAGUACUUAGCAAUGUCUAGUUCAAUUUCUUUACAUAAACUAACUGGUAAUUUAAAGCAAGACAUGUCAAAAUUCGGCAUAGCCAUGGCUACCUCCUUAAUCAUGAUAUUCUUCCCAACCUGCGAUAGAAACUGUUUUGACCAACCGUUGAGUUUCACCCUAAUUUUCCUUCGCAUCUCAUCAAAAACCACUUUUUUCGAAGCCCCAAAGUUUGCAUGUAAGCCCAAAUAUUUACCAAAAUCAUUGCACUGUUGCACCCCCCAAAGUAGUUUUCAAUUCUUGUUGAGUUCUUCGGGGGCAAUUGUGGCUAAAUAAAAUGAAACUUUUCUCUAAAUUUAUAUAUUGGCCUGAGCCCUCCUCAUAGCAUUUCAGAAUAUGUCUGAUACAUGCCACCUUUUCCGCUAUUGUCUUACAGAACAAGACGGAAUCAUCUGCAAAGAAUAGAUGAGUUGUGGGUUCUCUGUUAAUCAAGACACUAUACGUAACAAUUAAGAUACAUUCCAUAAUCCAAGAGCAAAAUCUGUUCCCAAAGCCAACUUUCCUCAUCAUAGCCUCCAAAAACACCUAUUCCACUCAAUCAUAAGCCUUGGACAUAUCCAGUUUCAGGCGAUAUGACAGUUUUCUGCUCCUUUGAUCGCUUUCAAUGAGUAAAGAAUUUCAUGGACAAAAUAUUGUCAACAAUAAUCCUGUCCUUAACAAAAACAGACUCAUUCAGACUAAUUAUCUCUGGUAACUCAUGUUUCAGUCUAUUUGCCAGAAUUUUAGAAAUAAGGUAAAUUACUCAAAUGGUCCUCAAACUUAUACCCAAUUUACAUUUUGGUCCCUCAAUUAAAUUAUUCGUUCAAAUGGUCCAUCAACUCUAUAUUAUUCGCUUCAUUGGUCCUACCGUUACAUUAUAUCAAUAUUUCCAUUAAAUAUGAGGGCAAAUUGGUCAUUUCGUCCAUCAACUCUCUCUCUUUCUCUCUCUCUUCUUCUUCUUCUUCUUCUUCCUCCUAAUUUGACGGCUGGCAAGGUUUCUUCUUGUUCUGCUUAUGGUUUUCUUCUUCUUCUUCUUCUUCUUCUGUUCUUCCUUGUUUUCUUCAAUUUUUUCUAAUUUUGUAUUUAUUUUAACCCUAUUUUUAUUGGUUAAUUAUGAAAAGUCAUAUUUACCCUAAAAUUUGGUUAAAUCUAACAGAAAAUUAGACGGUAGGACCAAUGGAGCGAAUAAUAUAUAGUUGAUGGACCAUUUGAACGAAUUUAAUUGAGGGACCAAAAUAUAAAUCGGGUAUAAGUUUGAGGACCAUUUGAGUAAUUUACCCUAUCUUUUGGGUUGCUUAUAGAGAAAAUCUCCGUAAAACAAUUGGUAGCAAUAUUAUUAAUCUCAUGUUCACCUUCCCUCCAAAUCCCACAUUGGUCCUCCAAUCCAUACAUUCGGUUCAAACGUCUCCGUGCCAUCAUUUUUUAGUGAAAGAAUUUGGUAUUCUUAUCCCCUUCCUGUAGCCAUUGCACUUGGGAUUUGAGAUUCCAGUAAAUCUCCUCUUCCUUAAUUGCAGUAGAAAGUUCACCUUCCAUAUGUCGAACUUUCGUCCCAUCAUAUAAACAUUUUGUUGAUAUGCGUCAUUCAACUACCCCCUUAAUUCCUCAAUCCGUACUGUCACAUCCCGAGAUCGGCUCCGCCGUAGCACGAUAUUGUCCGCUUUGGGCCCCCCUCUUUGCCCGCACGGUUUUGUUUCUGAGAGCUCAUGACCAACUUCCCAGUGGGUCACCCAUCCUGGGAUUGCUCUAGCCCCCAACUCGCUUAACUUCGGAGUUCCUACGACUCCGAAGCCAGUGAGCUCCCAAAAGGCCUCGUGCUAGAUGGAUGCGGGUAUGCACAUAUAAGGCACAUCACCCCCUCUCCGUUGGUUGAUGUGGGAUCUUACAAUCCACCCCCCUCAAGGGCCCGACGUCCUCGUCGGCACACUCGCACCACAAGGCAGAGUGGCUCUGAUACCAAAUUGUCACAUCCCGAGAUCGGCUCCGCCGUAGCACGAUAUUGUCCGCUUUGGGCCCCCCUCUUUGCCCGCACGGUUUUGUUUCUGAGAGCUCAUGACCAACUUCCCAGUGGGUCACCCAUCCUGGGAUUGCUCUAGCCCCCAACUCGCUUAACUUCGGAGUUCCUACGACUCCGAAGCCAGUGAGCUCCCAAAAGGCCUCGUGCUAGAUGGAUGCGGGUAUGCACAUAUAAGGCACAUCACCCCCUCUCCGUUGGUUGAUGUGGGAUCUUACACGUACUUUCGAGUUUCUCCAUUCUCGUCUUCUCCAGUCUAGCAACCACAGUUUCUGGAAACCUGUUCCCCCUGAGAACCAUUGAAAACUUUCUACCAUCUUUCUGCAAUUAUGGUACGCCAACCGUUAUCUGUGCCCCAUCGAGGAUCAUAAAUAAAUAUGCAUGUCCUUUGCCUUAGUAGGGUGACAAUUUGCAGGUGCAACAACGCAUGGUGAGAUCCGGGUAUCAUAUGGUGAGUGAUUUUUACAUCAGGUUACAUCUACAGCCAUAGACCAGACACUAGUCCCCGGUUCAGCCGUUCCUGAGUAUGGCCAUCCAUUCUACAGUUCCUCCACUAAAAGGGCGCCCCACAAAACCCAAAUCUAUAAGAUCACAAUCUGCCACAAAGCUUCGAAAACUCAUUAGACUCUGCUCAGUCCGGGGAAUUCCCUAUCCCUUCUCCAUUGUUGUGAGGAUAUCAUUAAUAUCACCCAUUACUAAGCAUGCAUCCUAACAACUUUGGAUUCGCUCUCUUAGAAUACAGAAUUGUGUCCUACAAACUUUGUCCUCUGUACUUGCAUACACUGUAAAGAAUCUCCACUUCCAUUUUUUCUCCUCAUCUUGAACCACCACCUGAAUAAAGAAAGUUGAGUAUUUAAUUAGAAAACCAUAUGCGAGUCCUUCCCAGAACAUACAAAGACCUUUCCCAGUCUUAUGUGGUUCCACAGCAUGCCUAAAGUUCAUCCCCAAUUGUUUUUUCAAAUAAACAUAAUGACUACUUCUGUUCUUGGUUUCCAUAAGCACAACUAUGUCAGGAGUUUAGAGCUUUACUUGCUCCUUUAGUGUGGAUACUGUCUGAGCACUCCCAGUACCCUGACAGUUCCAAACCAUUAGUUUCAUAGUGAUUGUGGAGACCAUUUUGGCCGAUGUUAGUUGCCAUACCAGUUUCACAAUCAUACACAUUCUCCCUGAUAGUGUUCCUCAAGUGCAAACCAAGCUCCACCCAAUCUUUAUUGGCUCCCUACGUACUCGCUUCUCCACCUCUAGGCUUCUUUUUUCCCCACUAGUAGGUUCCCUCUGCUUAUGUCGUUGUCCCGUUCAUGCAAUUAUAGCCUCCAAGUUAAAGGGGUCUGAUCCUACCAUAAAAAAAUUAGCUCUCAUUUGUUCCUCCUCUAUUUGCACUUGUGCUACUUCAUGCAUCCUCAUCAUCGAUUCUGUGGCCCCACUAAGAGGGGUGUCAAGAUCCGCUAUUAUAUUGAGGUCAAUCUACACACCAUCAUUCGUUGAAAUCUAGAUCUCUCCUUCAUCACUUCUCUUCUCUUUCUCAGGAUGACCUCUCCCACUAAUACUUCUCUGAGUUUCCUCCGCUUCUCCGCUUUCUCUCUUUGUUGCCUAAUUAACUCUGCCAUACUUCCUCUAGUAUGUUGACCCCUAUCCAGUGAGGUCCUAUGUUUUGAGGGCGAUGUGGUUAUGUCUUUCACUUCUGUAGUUUCACUACCUGCUGAACUCGGUGUACGUCGCCACUCCUUGUCACUAUUCGAAGCCUGAUUAUGCUAGUUGCCUUCUCCAUCUGAUCUCCCUUCUCUUCUUCCUGACCAUCAAUACCUCGUCAGCUAUCAGAUUAAGUAGGGGAUCUUCUCACUCCAAGUUGUAGUCUCCUACCCCUCAAAUCCUCCAAUGCCUCAAGUCCAAGAAACAGUUGUGUAUCUGUGUUCCUUCCUCCGCUGGCUAUUUCUUUUUUCUCCUUCGUAGAUAAGUUUUCACAUGACUGGUUGUACGCCCCAGACAGCCAGAAGCCAAACAAUAAUCGGGUAAAAACUCAUAGUGCUUCUUCCCCAGGAGAAGCCACAAGAGUCCCACACAUCAGUAGUUGUCUCACAUCAAGAUAGAUGUGCACAUGGGCAAAACAACCAAUACAUUCUUUUCAUGUUGAUUUAUCCCCUUCUAGCACCUCCCAUAUUAGAUUACUAUUCUUGGAAACAGCCGACACCAUCAUAUUCAAAGGCGAAAGGCCAUGGAUUUGUAUCUAGAAUACAUCCCUAAAUAGAGGUGUGCCCUAAAUCUUAUGGUCCCUUGUUUCCUCAGCAACCAGCACUAAAGAGUCACGAAAAACCCAUGGCUCCAUAUCAAGCACUCUUCUCAUGUAAUGUAACCCAUUAGCAUAUCAAACGCUCGUUUUGACAACUGUGUCAUUAUUCAAGAUAUUUUUUAUAUUUAUUCUCAGGCUUCGGGUGAAUUAAUUAAUUUCCACAAUAGCAGUGUUGUUUUUAGUGAAAAUGUCCCCACCAAUCUGCAGUCUCAGAUGGCUUCCUUUUUUGGGGUUGCCCAUGUGUCGUUUCACAACAAAUACUUGGCUCUUCCUACUUUCAUUGGAAGGGGAAACUCUUGCGCGGGGCCGGUCAUGAACUCCUCAUUGAAGUUGGGGUUCAGUCUCUGCCACUGUACACCAUGGAAACCUUUCUCUUGCCUACUCCUCAUUGAAGUUGAGGUUCAGUCUCUGCCACUGUACACCAUGGAAACCUUUCUCUUGCCCAAGACCUUCUGUUUGGAUCUCUAACGUCAUUUCACCAAAUUUUGGUGAGGUAGUUCGGCUGACUUAAAAAAAAUUAAAUUGGAUGUCUUGGAACAAAUUAUGUAGGCCUAAAUAGGAAGGGGGGAUGGGUUUCUGCAACCUCUAUGCCUACAACCUUGCUCUCUUCUCAAAGCAAGGUUGGAGAUUUAUCCACAAUUCUGAUUCUUUGGCUGGGAUCCUCUUCAAGGCUAAAUACUUCCCUACUACCUCGUUAUGGGAUGCAGCGGCUGGUCCUGGUGCCUCCCACUGUUGGCGUAACAUUAUUAAUGCACGGUCUGUGCUUGUUGGUGGUUCUAAAUGGCUGAUGGGCAAUGGUGGCUCCAUCAGCGUCUGGAGGGGUCGGUGGCUCCCCGUACCUAACACUUUUAAGGUUAUUUCCUUUACCCCUAUCUUUUUUGCUGAUUUGCAUGUACAGGACUUAAUCGACGUUGUCAACAGGCUGUGGAACUCCGAUAUUUUAGCCUUGUUAUUCUCUCAUGAGGACCAACUUGUUAUCAAUUCUAUCUCAUUGAGUCUCAGAUUUCCUGCUGACAGUCUUAUCUGGCAUUAUAAUGCUAAAGGGUCCUUUACUGUCAAGAGUGCUUACCAUGUGGCUUACUUGUCCCUCCAGGAUCACUGUUUGACUGCUUCAACUUAUGUUGGUGGUUCCAACGGCCACAGUCACCUUUGAUCUACCUUGUGGAGGGCAAAUGUUCCAAACAAAGUUAAAAUUUGCGUGUGGCGUGCUACCUCAAAUAUUUUGGCCACCCGCUCUAACCUUGUUCGUCGGGGUGUUCAGAUUGAUCAGCCUUGUUUUCUUUGUAAUACUCCUACAAAAACUACUCUUCAUACGUUGCGGGAUUGCCCUUUUUUGAAGGCGGUGUUGUUUUGCGUCUACUCUGGGUUUGUGCGUUUCUCAACGGGAAUUUACUAUUAAGGACUGGCUUUGCUCUGUUCUUGAUGAGGUGUCUCUUUCUGAUUUCAAUCUAGUGUUAAUGCUUAUUUGGGCCAUUUGGAAGGAGCGCAACUCCCGCAUUUGGGACGAUACUCGUGCUGACCCUGCAUCUGUCGCUUUGUAGGCUACUAGUUGGCUUCAGGAGUUCCAUCGUGUUCAUUCGAUCCCUCACACACACUGCCCCUACUGCCCGUGAGAUGGUUGGCUCCCUCGGAAGGCUAGUUCAAAAUUAAUGUUGAUGGGGCCUUGAACAUCGCCCUCGGCCUGGGGUGUGGGUGUGGUGGUUCAUGACUGCCGAGGAAAUUUCAUCUAUGCUCACAUUUGGAGGUUCCGCCAUAUCUACCAGGCUGAGCACAUUGAACUGCUUGUGGUGUGUGAAGGUUUGAGUCUGGGUUCUUCUCUUGUUAAUCUCCAGCUCGCCUUAGAAAGUGACUCUCUCACGACUGUCACCACUAUGUUAAGGAAAAAGACUGACUCUUCUUUGCUUGGCCACCUCUACGACGACGCCAAGUUCCUUUUAUCUCAGUUUGAUGGGGCUAUUGUUGCCCAUGUUUCUUGCCACUACAAUGAUGUCUCUCAUCGCUUGGCUAAAAUCUCUCUCUAUUGAUGGUUUGGUUGACUGGAAUGAGUGGCCCCAUGCUAUCAUCCAGGAUGCCCUCUUAAACGAUUGUAAUCUGCUCUAGUUUCUUCAAUGAAUUUCGUUCUUUUCAAAACAAAACAAAAAAUUGCAAUGGGAACAAAAGGUGAUGGAAUAAAUUAUAAGGCAUGAAAAGCAACAAGAGUAGGGUCUUAAUCAGGAUGAUACAGAUGAUUAUUCACGUGGCCAUGGAAUAUUCUGUUGUCUUGAUGGGUGUAGGAGUACAGAUGAUUAUUGUUAAUGUUAUUAAUUCAGAUAAGGAUAAAAUAAUAGCAAAUGCAUAAUAAAAAUUUUAUAUCAACUAAAACUUGUUCAGAUUAAAUACAUAGUCAAUCUCUUUCUUUUUGGUGCUGUAGUGCUCUGCCUCAAUUUGUUUGAUUUUGCUAUUUUCCCUUUGUGCUUGAAGUAAUUCUAAUUUAAUUUAUGGAUCCUAGUUAUCUAGUAUGAUAUAUGAUGUUUUGAUGCUAUUUUGUUUGGUAAUAAUCUGAACAAUUUAGGCAUUUGGGUAUUGUAAGCAUGAUUUUGUUUUGGUGUAUCUUUGUUUUUGUAACUGAAGACUUGAUGGUCUUGAAAAAUGCCAUUUUACUAGAGUGAAAAAAAUUGGGUUGAUUAAUCUAAUAACCAAUGUUGUUAAUUAUGAAAAAUAAUGAAUAUAUAUAUAUUGUCCACAUUGUUGCUUUUUAAAAAUACGAAAAGAUAUUCCAUUAAAAAACCAUAAAACAGUACAUAGUGAGAAUCAAUAUGUUAACCAGCCUCAUUAAAAUCUGCUCAGAGAAAUCACAUGGGACAAAAUUCCGAGGGAGAAAAGAGUACCACCCAUACUUUCGAUUAACAAAAGAGUCAAACUCACAUGAACUGACAAAGAAGGCCUCCUAUGAUGAAACAAAUUGGUCUGUUGAAAUUCAGCAUCAUAGUUUUGCACAUAUAAAACUUCUCUUUGCAGGCAUUGAUUCAAAACUAAAAAGUACUCCGUUCCUUGCAUUCCAUAAUAGCCACAAACCAACACGGGGCACACACAACCACAACCUGUCGACGACCAUGAAACCAAAAAAUGGAGUAUCUAGGACAGCAGAUAUGCCAAAACACCAGUUUUGUGGGGCAAAAUCAAAGGAAAGGUAAACCACACAUAUCCGAAGUAGAUCUGAAAACAUCAAUCUGCAAAUCAGAAACACAAAACCAAACCAAGAAAACAAAGAGGGAGGGGAGGGGCGAGUAGAAGGAGAGGAUGAGGAAGGGGGGAAAGGGAUUGGAGGGAAGAAGAGGGAUGCUGGAAUUCCUUAGUCUAUAGUAUUUUUUCUUCUUUGGAGAGGACCCAAGGACACCAUUGUCGACAUUGUUGUUACGUAACCAUUGUUGAUGUAAUAUACAUUUUUGUUAUAAGUAUUUUUUUUUUCUUUCCUGUGAGUUGUGAUUAUUUCUAUUGAUUCUGAAAUUGGUACUUAGGUGACAAUGGGUAAACUUAAAAGAUAUUCAGCCAAAAAUGCAACAAACUUCACACACUCUAGACCUUGGCCAAUUACUCUUAUGACUAGUCAACUGUCAGAUAUGAAUUAUACCAAACAACAACAUACACAGAGCAUACCAUGAUGUACCUGCAGGCCUAGAGAAUUACUAGUGACAACCUAGGCACUCAUAAGAACCCGUCAAUCUAGGCAUCCCCUGGGCUAGCAACAAUUAUGGUGAAAGUGUGUGAAGACAGCAUAAUCAAGCAAACACCAAACAGAAGAUAAUGAUGACUAGUCAACCACAAUUCAUACAAUGACUAGUCGACCACCAAGAACACAAACCCAGAAAAAUUACAAGGAUGCAAUCAGAAAUUGUUCACCCAGAAACCUACCAUUGGGAAAAACUGGGGGUCCUCAACCGACCAGGCAAUCCACUAAGUAGAAAAAGAUUCUUACAAAGGAACACAAUCAAGCUCAAGAAAAACCUAGAUCUAUUUAGGAAGAUGAGCUAUACCUCCUUUGUGCAAUCUUCUUCUCCAACUUAGCAAAGCUUGAAGCUCAAGUCUUCAUGGCAAUGACAGCUCCUUCUCCAGCUCAUUCAUCCUAUGGCACCAGCUUGCAAGCUCAACUCAAACAGAAACCAAAAUUUGGGUUCAAAGGAGAAUGACCAAUUUCUUCAAGAAACCAUACUCUUGAAGAAAUCAGUCGUGAAUCUGACCUAAAUAUAAAUGAGAGAAUGUUUUAUGAAGCUAGAUGCAAAUUCGUAUUUCAAAUGCAGUUUUUUCAGAAAGAAAUCAAUUUGGAAAAACUCAUAGAUGAAAUAUUGUUCUCUCUUGAGGAAGAAGAACAGAAAGAUGGCAAGCCAACCUUUCCUAAAAAUCCACACAAAAGAGACGGCUUCUCAAAGAGGAAUCGCAAGGCCUUUACAGACAAAAAUUCCCUUAGGUCAGAAUCCCACGUGGCAGCAAAGAGAGAAAAAAGAAUAGGACAAAAAAGUUGGUUAUCAAGCUGGAAAUCCUACAUAGCAAGGAUGACUAGUCAUACAAGAAACAGAUGACUAGUCAUCAUUUUAUGAAAACAGUAUAAUGCAAUGUUAUGCAAUGCACAAUUUACCUUUGCCAAUUUGGUUGAACCUCCAUAGGAAAGUUAUUAGUUAAGAACACCUAGAGAAACUAUUCUCAAUCUAAACUUGAACUUGAUAAAUAACAAUAGAAAUCCUAUUACAAAGUUGUCAAGGGAAGCAUAAAGAAAAACCCAAAAUGCAUACAUUAACAGAUUCUUAGAUACAUAGAUAAUGUAAAGAUGUUGAUGAAUCAUGAAUUAGUUCCAGGUCUUAACUGUUAAAGUGAUCUUAUAAUGGGAAAGUUGGUUUUGACUUCCUCCAUAUAGAAGGAGGAGCGUGUAGAACUAGUUUUGUCCCUUUGGCACCAUAUAGAAUUAGUUUUGUCCUCUGCCUGCCUCAAUUAAUUUUGUACCUUUAUGAAUUAGUUAGAGUACUGAAGUUUUCUUGUUCAACAUGGGAUGUGGUGGUAAUUGUAAUUGUGACAGUCUGAUAGAUCCCACCAAUUCAUUGUUUGUGGAAGAUCUUGAUACAUAUUUUUUUGCUUCUUUGUUUAAACAAUGUAUAUACUUUCAUAAAAUAAAUAAUAAUUUUAUUUUCCAUGAAAAUCUUGAAAAUAUUUUAUUAUUGUUGCUUAAAAGUUACAGAUACCGAUGGAUGUGCUUCUUAGUCUUUGCCCUAUUGCCAUUCUUCUUGUUCUAGGAGCAAGUGCUUCUCGACGAGCAGACAUGGUUAAUUCUCUCUAAUAUGAAAAAGUUAAUUUAUAUUCAGUAAUUAUGAUAGAAUAAAUAACUUGGCUAUCAUGUUAUUUAUAAGCUAGGAAUAUGGUUAUGAUCAUUGGAAAAAGAUUUAGAAUUUUAAGUUCAUCAAAUUAGGAUUUGCUGGCUAAUACUUGAAUCACAAGGACUCGAAUCCUUUUUGUGUUUCACUUUAUUAAUCUAAUCAAACUAUAAAUAGUACUUUCUAAACGCGUUUUUGGUGUCCCAUAUGGAUUCCAAAAUAAAAUCGAAAGUUAUCGGUGCAAAUUUUGUUAAUAGAAAUUAAUGUUUUGUGCUUUGAUGUCAUAACCACGUAUGUUCAUCUUUUCUGAGAAUCAUGCAUACGUGUGCCCCUUGACAUGUACGUAAUUUGUUCAUAUGUGAGGUGAAUUUUUACUGCACUUCUUUUUUUCCCGUUAUCAAACAACUAAAUUGACUGCAUUAUAAAUGAAGCAGCGUAUCUAUACAUAGUUUCAGGUCGACAUUAUUUGUCUGGCUAAAUAGUUGAUUGAUUGAGGUGUUUUGUCUUUAUGCAUAACAUAUUUGUCACUACCUAUGAAAUCUGGGUUUGUGGAUGAAAGCUCCAUUCCCAAAAGAAUUAAGAUUUCUGAGUUUUCCUGUUACAAUACCUUAUAGUAACAAAAAUAAAAUAAAAAAUAAAAAAAUUAGAAUACCAUAUAAUUAGUAGAGCCAUUUAUCUGCGGGGUGUGAAGCCAAGUGAGCAAAAGUAGAACGGAAGGUUCCAGUUUCAUUAUUUAUCAGGUCGACAUUUGGUAGUUUACUAGUUUUUCAUUACAUAAUUACUCCUUGUUGUCAAAGUGAAAUCUCUCAUUAUGAAUUCAGUGGUAAAGAGCGUUCACACACCCAAAAUUGACGUCGGCUUGUAAGUCUCUCUAGUAGAAGGAGAACCUUGAUUAUGGGAUCUAUUUUGGCCAUAUAUGGACACGAUCAAGAUGUUUAAACCUUCUUUGCCUAAUAAGAACAAGGGUGUCUCUUUGUUUUGGUGCCUACCUUGCACCCCAAAACAGUGUACGCUGUCUGGACACUUGGGCGUCUUUGAAAAUUUAGAUUUUUUUUUUUUUCCAGAAAAAGGAAGUCUAUAAAUACCACCACCUCCAUCUACAAGUUAAUGCAUGUAUAUUUCAAUCAGUUACUUUACUGCCUGAGGGAAUUUAGUUCUAAAAUGGCUUCUGCAUUUGCAACUAUUGCUCUUCUUCUCUCCCUUAACCUUGUGUUUUUCACUACAGUGAGUUCAGAUCAUCACGUUCCUACUCGUUCACCAACACCACCAAAAACCCCAAAACACCCUCCCCUGUCAACCCCAACCUCAACCCUAACACAAUCUCCUCUAACCCUAAUCCCAACGCCAGAACAACCUCCUUCGACCCUAACCUUGACUCCGACCUUGACCCCAAGCCCAAGCCCAAGCCCUCCUAAAGCCUCUUGCCCUAAGGACACCCUUAAGCUUGGGGUAUGUGGCGAUUUGUUGAAUGACUUGUUGCACCCUGUUUUGGGGACCCUACCAAAGACCCCUUGCUGUAGCCUCAUUGUGGGUCUUGCUGAUGUUGAUGCUGCUGUGUGCCUUUGCACUGCCAUUAAAGCCAACGUUUUGGGCAUCAAUCUUAAUGUGCCAGUCUCCUUAAACUUGCUUUUGAAGUACUGUGGUAAGUCUGUCCCAAAAGACUUCCAAUGCACCUAGGGGUGCCAUGACCUUCUCAUCUAGUGCUGCCCUUCCCAAAGCUUUGUUGGAAUGAAAAACAGACCACUAAUCUUUGGCGUUACUCUGUAAUAUAUUAUGCAUGUUUCCUUCGAAAUGUAGCUGAAAUCUAGAGUGUUCUCUCUUAGGAAUGUUCAUACGUUUCCUUCAAAAUAAAAAUAAAAAUUAUGCAUGUUUCACUCUUGAGUUGGUGGUUUUUAUUAGGACUUGUCCAAUAUAAAUCCCUACAUUUUCUAUUUCCUAGACAUAUAUCCAUCAUUAUAUAAAUUUAUGUGUAAAACUCAAUUUCAAAUUUAAAUGACCAGUAUGAUACAAGAGGUCGUAGUAUUCCUAUAUUUUUACAUCGUUGCCACCAUACUUCAUAUUUUAUUUAUAAUUUAUUUCAAGCAUUUCAUUAACUGUUAUAAUUGUAAUUAAUACUCCCUAUUAAUAGCAUAUCAUCAAUCACUCCAUUUCUUUUGGUUGUCAUGCCCUCUCACUCGCCCCCUAAAAUUGCAAACCCAAAAAAAAUAAUAUGUAAAUUACAUAUCCAAUAAUGUACCUAUGAAAAAUAUAAGGGGUUCUUAGAUCUAGGUCCAAAACGAUUAGCUGGUAUUGGAUUUAGUCCACGUGUUUUUAGUUUUAGAUGUAGGUCCUUUGACUUUUUUUUUUCUUUUUUUUUUUUGACUUUUUUUUCUCUUUUUUUUUUUGUCGAUUUUACCCUUUGAGGUAAAUAAGAAAAACAUAUUGAAAAUCUAAAUUUAAUGCAUAAUUUCCUUGAAAUUGAAUUUUGAAUUCUUUCCUUGAUAAUAUUUACCUAAUAUAUACCAUUUAAUCAAUAAAAGACAGACCCACAUAUUAUACCUAUGCGAUGGAUAAUAGGACAAUAUAUCUAUAUCAUUACCUAUAAGUAAGGUGGAAAAAUAAACAAGCAGAAUAUUAAAUUACCUAUGACUUAGGUGCAUAAAAAUAUAAGUCGGACAGUAUAUGCUACCUAUAUCUCCGGUACAUAAAAAAGAUAAGUGGUAAAGUGUAUGUUACCUAUAACUUAGAUACAUAAACAAAAAGGCAAAAAAGUGUGGUACCUAUAUCUCAUGUAUGUAAAAACACAAGUCAAUUAAUACCUUUUUUUUUUUUUGUUAAAGGAAUAUGUUACCUAUCAUUUAGAUAUAUAUAUAUAUAUAUACAUAUAUAUAUCAAAAAAAUGUAUUACCUAUAUCUCAGGUAUACUAUACUUAAAAGAACAACUAUAAAGAACAAAAUGACCGAACCUCAUUCAAAGUUGAGCAUAUAUUCAACAUAAAAUAAUAAUAAUAAUAAUAGAAGAAGAAGAAGAAGAAGAAGAAGAAGUCGAUACUAUGACUGCAUAGCAAAUGGAUAUUAGACCAUGCUUUAGCUGUCAUUUGUGCUUUGAGAUGAACCCAAACUCUGAAUCUCCAUUAUUUUCUCAUCUAUUUUAACUAGUGUUUGGCUUCCUUUGAUUACUAAACUCACUCCAUUAUUUCUUUCUUAUGUCAAUGUACAACAUUUAAAAAUGAAAAAAAAAAAAAAAAGUCUUCCUAAUUAGGUGCUUUACUUACCAUAAAUUUAGUAUUUUAUUAUAAAACCACCAUAAAAAUUUGCUGCAGUUAAUAACUUCAUUAUUUCUUACGUUUUAUAUGCUCAAGGGAAAAUUGGAUAAGGAAAGAAAUAUAAUAUUGGCUAAUUAUCUCAUUAAGGUAAGUAAUCUAAGAUAAUGGGCAAUAUUGGAACAAAAAUUAAUUUUAAAAAUAUAAAAAUCAAAAUAUUACAUCAUAUAAUAUUUAAAGAGUAAUGCUAUACUUACCACAUUUUUAUCCCACAUUUCUAUACCAUAUGAUGUGGCAUGUCCAUAUUAUACGCCACAUCAAUUAAAUAAAUGAAGUGUAUUUUAAUAAAUAAAAUUAGAGAAAUGGAAACUAGUAUUUUACAUGAUUUGGUAUGUACACAUCAGCUGCCACAUCAUGUGGUAUGAAAUUGUGGUAUAAAAAUGUGGUAAGACUAGUAUUAUUCAUAUUUAAAAAGGAAUGUAAUCCUAUGUGGCACAAAAGCACAUGCACAUUUCUAUAUAUGUAUAUAAGAGAGGAAAACCUCGCCACUAAGUUUUCAUCCAUCAGAAAAAUAUCAGAGAACCAAGUCUUAGUUUAGACCUCUGAGUUCAUCUUUUCCUUGUUAUUUUCUUCUCUUCUUUUAUCGUUGCAAAAAAUCCAACAUGGUAUCAGAGCAUAGUUCAAGAUUUAUUUUGCUGGCUGUAUGUGUUAGAAAAGAGAGGGACAAAAUCCCCACUAGCCAUGACAGUUCAAGCAGAAAUGGUGUCAUUGAGAAAGCUAUGAAGAAGGGCAGCAAGAAAGGAGCCAAUAAGCUUCAUCCUCUGCAAACACCUUGAAUAAGAGAAGCUAAAAUAAUAAGGCAUUGAAGAAGAGAACAACUCUCUCAUGUUAGAAUUUUUUUUUUUCCCAAUCAAUUGGGUGGUUGGUAUUACUAGCAUCUUUUCCAUUUGCGACUCACAACAUUUUAGUUUAACAGAUUUAGUCUCAUGUCUGCUCCACUGGCAAAAACAUCCGAAAGAAAUAUUCAAAGCCCUGUGGUUGAAUAUUUGUUUCUUUGCUAAUAUGCUCUCUCUCUCUCUCUCUCUCUCUCUCUCUCUCUCUCUCUCUCUCUCUCUCUCUCUCUAGCUAGGAAUCGUGAAGCUGCUAAUGCUACUCUCCUUAUAUUUUUAAGUAGCGAAAUGCUAAAGAAACCCUAAUGUAUUAUUUAUCUUGUGUUGGAUGAUCUUUCCAUCAUGAAGAAGUCCUUGCAAAUCCCAGAAAUAAGACCCAACUACAUGAGAUAGAGACAUCUUUUCCUGAGGCCAGGUGAUGACAUGCCUAAUCAAUCUAUUAGUAUUCUAAACUUGGGAUUUCUUACCUAAUUAAUCCCAUCAGAAUACAAUAGCAUAUACAUGAGUACAAAUUGUGGUACCCAUAAGUGCUUAUGACUGUCCAUACACAAGGACAUGAUACAACUUAUGGGUGCUUCCCUAAGAGCAACUCGACCCCAAAGGGUAAGGGCAAGGAAAAGGCAAGGCAAGGUUUGACACUAUUCACUUGAAUAGUGGCAGCCUUGCCUUUUUUGGUUCCACCCCAAAAGGCAAGGGCAAGGGCAAACACUAUUCACUUUAAUGUAUUUUCUAUUUUUUAAACUUAAACCAUUAAUUUUGAUAAGGUUCUUAGAUAAUAUUUUCAGUUGCCACGUGUCACUAUUUAUUAUAAACAUUUUAUAGUAAAUUUGGCUUACACCCUUCAAAUUCAACUUACCUUACCUGCAACCCUUCACUUUUUGUUCCUAUAAAUAAUACCCAAUUUUAAUGAGUAAAAACCCAUGACUAGGAUCCAACUCAUUAAGUUACCUUAUUAAGCUCAAUUUCUGAUUUAUUAUAAUUUUUUGAUUGCAAUUUUAGGGGCUAUAUGUUAAGGGAAUGGCAACGGAAAGAAAUGGGGUGAUUGAUAUGCUAUUAAUAGGAAGUAUUAAUUACAAUUAUAGCAGUUAAUGAAAUGCUUGAAAUAAAUUAUAAAUAAAAUAUGAAGUCUGGUGGCAACGAUGUAAAAACAUAGGAGUACUAUGACUUCUUAUAUCCUAUUGGUCAUUUAAAUUUGAAAUUGGGUUUUACACAUAAAU
rnacentral:lncRNA from 1 species